UUUUUUUUUUUUUUUUAAUUAGUAUUGUCCCGACACUACUACAGUGUUUGCAAUAUUAUAUAGAAAAGUAUAUACAUGCAUAGAGUUUGUGAAAGGCCUCCACCAAGAGUAGAAUUCUAGAUAGUGAACAGUUUAUGGAUGUUAGAGAAGUUGAUGAUUGAUGAGAUCGUUUGAGGGUGACUUCAAACUUGAGAAAGGACAGCCACACAGCUCAACUUACUUUUCUUCUCUACUCUAAUCUUUGAUUUUUUUUCUGUAUUUAGACCACAGUAUCGUUGGAAUAGAUGUCCUUAAACUCUUAGUUUGUAACUUAGUAUCAUAUUCUAUUCAACAAAGUUGUUACAAUGAAUUAUUAGUGAAAUUGAAUACAAUAAUCUUGAAUCCAAUAAAUUAAACUAAAGUCUCGAGGCUAUCUUAAGUAAACUUGAACUUUAUGUAGAAAUAUAAAACGUGGAUCAAGUUUGAGUAUAUAGUCUAAACGAUUUAUAGUAUAUGAAUAAGGUUAGAUAGUUAUAGAAACACUAUAUAUGGAGAAAUGAAAGUGGUUGGGGCAUUCUCUGUAAUAAAGAGUUUACAUAAGACGACUAGAACCAUGAAAUAGUCACUUUUACGUUAUAACAUUGUUGAUGAUAUAAAACUGACUAUUUUGAUUAUUGAUAAUCUAGAUAACUUAAUCUUAAUCAAAUGUUAACUCUAAACUUCUAUUUACAUAGAAUUAUCCUUAGAUCUGCAUAGGUGAAUGCAUCUCUUCAGCGUUGGCCUAAUAAGUCUCUCGUUUAAAGAUGAAUAGCUGGAGACACAAGGUGCAAGACAAAAUUCACUCCUACUCGUUAUAGGAUUAGUAGAUAGGUGUUUGACUUUUGACUUUGAAAAGUCUAACUUUGUUCAAUUUUAUAUUCAAAUGUAAUUUGAAUUUCAGAAAAAUGAAUGUAGAUUCAUACUCUGAAAGUUGAAUUAGUCAAGACAAAUAAAAUGGUAAAAAUUCAUAAUAUUAAUCUUUUUACUUAGAAACCAAAGUUUGACUUUGACUAAAAUGAUAAAAAGAUCCUUUUAUCUUUUGACAAACGUUACUAAGAAAAUCCAAAAUUUUGUUGGAUAAUCCCACUAAUUUUUAAUAUGAUAUUUUGGUGUCAAUAUAUGGUGUUGACACCAAGCCCACUAAAGCCUCAUAAUAGAUAUUGGAUAUUGAGGUGUUAGAGCUUUUGGUGGAUCAAUUAAGAUCGGGGCCAAUUUCUAUAUUGUUAAAAAAAACUUUUGUCUCUUUUUGAUUUAUUAUUACCUUGAAACUAAUUGCCCUAAACUGUUUUUUUUUUCUCCCAAUUCUUAACCCUAAGCCCAAUCUCCAAAUUCCAUCUCUCUCUUGAAUCUUUCACUUAUCGGAUCCCACUAUUUGAUUCUUAGUCUAAAGAAUACCAAGUCAAUUCUAAUGGUGCUCCGAUUAGAUAUCAAGAUUGCAAGCAAAUUAGGAGCUAGUAAAAUUUAUCUUUCACCCUAAUUCAAUUUAUUUUAGGGUUUCAUGCAAAUGAAGAGCAAUUAUAGGGUAAAAAGUUUAUCUGAUUUCUAAAAUCCAGCAUAUAUAUACUGCCUUGUUCCUAUCAUAGUAUGAGUGACUGAGUUUGUAUAUAUAGUCCUUAGAGUUUUUGACUACGUUAUGAAUUAUUGCUUCUUGGAAAAUUUAUUUAUGCACAAUCUAUUUUAACAUGUGUUAAUCCUAGUGUUUUUAAAUACGUAGCCACCGAUUGAAUGAUUGUUACGUAAUGUAUUGCUUGAGAGAGAGCAUUAAACUAUUAAUUGAAUGUGCACGAAGGUGAUAGCUAGGAGAGAGAUUAAUAUAGAGACUAAUAAUAAUGAACGAAUGAUGUUAUGAUAUACCUAAUUAAUUGAUUGCCAGAAAAUGAGUUAAUGUUAGGUAUUAAAAAAGGUUGAACUUGAAAGAGAAUACCUACACAAAAAAAGACUUAUAGGUUUAUAUAGUUAGAAUAAAAUCAAUCUAAGGUUAAGGCUAAUUAAAUAAUUAAUCUAACAAAGUCAUUACCGUAGGAGUAGAUUAGCUAGUUGGGUUCUAACUAAAAUUUGAAAAAUAUGUAAGUAACCAAAGAAUUGAAAAUUAAUUUCUCACAAAACGAUACAUUUUAUUUGUGAUCGUUUUAACUAUAUCGUUACUCUAAAAAUGAUGAAGGUGCUAAGGAGGUGUCUACCUAGUGGAGAUGUCCUGGUAUAUCUAUAGACUCAUAUGUAUUUUUUUUAAAAAAAAUAUAUCAUUACUGGAUGUGUAUGGUCGUGUCAUAAGUUUAUUAUUAUUAUUUUAUUAUUAUGUAAUAAAUAAAGAUGUUUAAUUAUUUUUUCCUUAAUUCUUAUUCCACCCUUUUAUAGUGAAGUAAAUGUCAGCAUUUCUCUUAUUAGUGAUUGACGUAUGAUGAGCAAGGAAAAGGCCCAAUUCCUCCAUUUGGACCAAACAAAUUGAGAACUUUCAAAACCAAAGGAAAGUGGAAAGGCCCAUUUAUAAAACAACACUUUGUUGUUGUAAUUGUAAUUAAUCAUAGGUUGAGAGAAAAAGAGAGAAAGAAAUAGAGUACGAUGCCGUUUUGUAGUGAAAAACGUCCCCUUCACCAUUGCUCCUUCUUCCCCCACUCUCUCUCCGCCACUUGUACUCCGCCAUAGCUCUCACACCUCGACACGUUUCUCUUUUAUACCAUUCCUCCUUCUUUCUCUCUCAAACACCUUCCUUCAACUCUCUCUCUCUCUCUUGAUCCUUCUCUCUCUCUCUAUCUCUCUGUCUCUCUCUUAGGGUUUCUGCUCUGCUUACUGAUGAGCUUUGCUGCUCUUCUCCUUCUGCUUUGUUAAUCAGAGGUGAUCUCUUUUUUUCUUUUUCUUCUUGUUUUUGUUGUUUAAUUACUGUUUUUGGAACAUGGGUUUUGAUUUUCAUAAACUCUUUUCCCCUUUUGGUUUGAUUCUGCUUUUAUGGGGGUUUUGUUUGCUCUUUGGUGCAUGAGAUGAAAGCGAUGGAAUUUUUGCAUGAAGAGACUUUGUUUCUUCUUUCUUUCUACUUAACUCUCUGCCUUAUUUUGAUUUAGGGAGAUCAAGAUUCCAAUACCAUUUGGUUUGUCUUGGUUUUCUGCUUUUUCCCACCAUCGGAUGAUUUUCAAAUUGAAAUCCAUGGCUAAGCGACUGAUUCAAUCAAUCCAAGCUUUGGAAAAUAAUUCAUGUGUCCGAUUAAAGGUUCUGUUGGAGGGAGGGAUUGGGAGUCCAUAGAUUUCAUUUGUGGAUAACUACUCUCUCUUUCACUUCCGAUGAAUUUCCUUAGCUCGAACUAGUUCUUUGAUCAGUGUGUAGAUUCACGUCUCAAUUCUUUUUAAUUGCUUUAUUGAAGGCUGUUUGAAAGCGAGGUCUUUGCUCUUUUUUUCAGUACUUAAUUGAUUGAUGCUGCCUGCAGCUUUUAAUAGCUUUGUUAAUAGUGUAAUGUAAGUCUUUGGGAAUAGAAUCCUCCUUAUUCCCUUAGAUGAUCAAAACUUUGAAGGUUCUUUAAGCAUAAUAAAAAUGUUGAACUGCUUACUUUUGAUGCGGCUUUUUGGUAAUAUUCUCUUUUCUUAUUCUGUGUUUCUUUUUCUUUUCGAAGGAACAGAAAUUUACUUCUUUUUGCUUUUUCUUGUUCUCAAAGAUUUUAAUUUUUCAUUUUGCAAGUAAAACAACGAUAAGCAUCUUAUUCUUAUUUCUGUUUCUGAGAAAUGGAAAAUUGAAAGAAAAAAAGCGAAGUCGUUUGUUGUUUGAAUUUGUAUACAGUUAGAAGAACCUGUAUUUGCUACUGAUUCUUCUGAAACUUAUAGGAAUCUUCAAUGGGAAUGCUCUUUGGAACUGAGUUAGACUCUUCAUAAUGUUGAUAGAAUUUUGUGUUGUAAUCAGCAGUGUGGAAAAUACACCAAGUAUUGUGAGCAAUGGAUCAAUCGGAGCGUUCUCAGCAUCAGCAACAAUCACAGCAACCUGCAGGCGGUGUCGGUGCAGGCCAAUUACAAUAUUCUAAUCCUUACCAAACAGCUCCGAUGGUGGCUUCCGGAACUCCUGCUAUUACGAUUCCCCCAACUCAACCACCAUCCAGUUUCUCCAAUUCUCCACACCAGCUUGCCUACCAGCAGGCUCAACACUUCCACCACCAGCAACAGCAGCAGCAACAACAACAGCUCCAAAUGUUUUGGGCAAACCAAAUGCAAGAGAUUGAACAAACAACUGACUUUAAGAACCAUAGUCUCCCUCUUGCUCGAAUCAAGAAAAUAAUGAAAGCAGAUGAAGAUGUCCGAAUGAUUUCCGCUGAAGCACCGGUUAUAUUUGCAAAAGCAUGUGAAAUGUUCAUCUUGGAGUUGACUCUGCGAUCCUGGAUUCACACAGAAGAGAACAAAAGGAGAACUUUACAGAAGAACGAUAUUGCAGCUGCAAUUUCAAGGACAGAUGUCUUUGAUUUCUUGGUUGAUAUUAUUCCAAGAGAUGAACUGAAAGAGGAAGGCCUCGGAAUCACAAAAGCCUCCCUUCCCGUAGUUGGUUCCCCAGCUGAUCUUCCUUAUUACUAUGUUCCAUCGCAGCAUCCAGUGGGUGCUACAGGAAUGAUAAUGGGGAAGCAAUUAGAUCAAGCGAACAUGUACGGUGCCACUGCUCAACAGCCCCGACCAUCGAUGCCUUUCAUGCCAUGGCCGCAUACCCAACCUCAGCAACAGCAACAAACUCAGCAGCAAAGUGAUGGAUAGUUAUAAGUAGUAGGUGGUUUCAAAACCGUGAUGAUAUGAUUUGAUAGAGGCGAUACUGAGUGACUUUGAAUGUGUCUACUGUCUAGUUUAGUUCAUAAAAGAAUAGCUCUUGUAGAGAACUUGUCAAUGAUGACAAGUUGGAGUUGAGUUUGUAUGAUGAGAGGGUGUGUUUAUCUCUUAUUACUCUUAAUUAUCUAUUACUGUAAUGUACAACAGUGUAUGUGGAAUAGGUUCCAACUUUGCCCAAAAAAAACUAUAAUUUCAAUUUUGUUGAGUUUUUUUUUUAAUUGUAAUUUUAGGUUCAAGAUGUGAAAGGAUGAAGAUUUUGAGCAAAAUCUUGCAGGAAGUUGGCAGCGCUCACUCACUCUCCUUCCUUGGCUUAUGAUUUCUAUUUCUUUGUUUGUAUUAGGAGUGCACCAAUUCGAAUAAAAUAACGGUUUGGUUUUGUUUGGUUUGGUUUGGUUUUUUUUCAAAUUAUUGAAAUGAAAAUGACUUUUAUAUAUAUACUAUAUAUAUUCCAUCUUCAUGGUAUAAAAAUAAUAUCUAAUAUCUAUGAGGUGGAAAAAAGUUGGUGAACAUAUCUAUCAGAUCAAAUAGAGAAUUUGGAUGAACAUUGUAAUCAUAAUUGCGGACUUGGUUAUUUGGUGAAGAUAUGUGUACUAUUUAUGUACAUAUUUAACAGUUUAGAAUCUUUAACCUAAAUAAUUCUUCAUCCUAACAUAAACUUACCACUUAUUCCCUAUUCUAUUAUCAUCUUACUAGACUUUUAAGUCUUUGUUUUGUAGGUCUUUUAUUUUCUAAAUUAUAAAUUUCGGGUUAUUUACUAACAUGGAAUAUAAUUUUUUAGGCUUUCUUACACAACUUGAUUUGAGUAAGCUGAAUUACAAAAAUGUAUCAAACUCCCAUUUCAUGAAUAGCCACAUGAGAUGAAACAUUGCAAAAAAAAAAAAGACCCAGAUACCUAUAUCACCCUCCACACUUUUUUAAAAAUAAUAAAUUAAUAAUACAAUAAAACAUAUCAUAUUCACAAAUUGAAUUUCGUCUUUUAGUAGUUUUUUUAGUAGUUUUUUUUGGAUGGAGUGUAAAUAGUUAAUGAAAAAAAAAACUCUUUAAAAAACUAAUUUUAAAUUGGUUUAUUUUCAAAAUUAAAAUUGCUAAUAUACACCAUAUAAUAAUAAAAUAAAAGUUCUUAAAACAUACCUAUGAAGUAUUGGUUCAUAUUGGUUUUGGAUGAAAACUAACUUCAUAAUUAAUUAGUUAUUUAGUUUAGUAUUUAACUUCAUUUCUAAAUAUGCAAUAAUGAAUUCUCCUUUACACUUGGAAUACAAGUGGAUUGUGUUCAAGUAAUAACUUAAAAGUUCUAUAGUGCAUAGAAACAUGUGAAAGUGGUAUCAUAUACAAAGAUUUCGUAUAAGAUUGAUCCUGGAAUAAUUAAUGCGACUUUACAACAUUGUUAAUCGAAGAGAUUAUUUAAUAUUAUACAAGGUAAUCCUUAGUGAGCUAGAACUUCUGCCUAUUAGGCUUUGUCAUUUAAUUUGUAUGGAUGAGAGUGGCGUAAUUCGUCCACUGAUCAAUAAACCUACCCUUAUGAGGACUUGACUGCGUAGGGAGCUGAGAACAUAAUUUUACAAGAUGAAUCACGUCUUUUUGUAUUGGAUAAACAGAUAAAUAGUUAUAUUAAAGGCUGACUUCGGGACUUGAACAAUUGGACCUCACUCUCUCUUUGGUCCAAGAGCGAUUUAGUUUAUGGUUAAACCAUAAAUUAAAUUGUUUAUAUAGGAUUAGUAGUACUUAAUGAUAUAGAAGUAAUUACAAGGGUAAAAUGAACUUUUGACCUAUUUGUCAUUAUGAAUAACUCGUAUGAAUUGAUUUUUGUUAUAUUUCGUAAAUAGUUUACUUUUUGUGUUAUUUAUAACGAUUCAUCUUCUUCUUUAAGUACAUGGAUUGAUUUAAUAACCAAAUUCUAAAAAAUAAAUAAGCUUUUUAAAAACAAAUAUUUUAGGUCCUACUUUGUAAUCAUUUUUUUAAAAAAAUUAAGUUCAUAAAUAUUACUUUCAUCUCCAACUUUUUUCUUCUUUUGUUAUCUAAAAAUAGUUUAAAAAACCAAACCAAAUUAUAAAAUUUAAAAUUUAAUUAAUUAAUAAAUAAUUGAUUAGCUUUCAAAAAAUUGUUAAAAAUUGUUUUUGUUUAGUAAAGUUGGUUAAAAGUUAACCAUUGUCUUUUAGAAAUAAUCAAAUCAUCAUAAAACAUAAAAAGAAAAGAAAAUAGAUUUAAUCUAAAAACAAAAACAAAAAUGAGAUGGUUAUCAAUUGAAACAAGUGGAGGUGUGAAAACAUUCAUAAAAAAUCGAUAAAAGAAAAAAUUUAGAAGUAGAAUUUUCAACCACUCAAAAAUUAAAAGUGAAAUGGUUGUUGAACAUUUUUCGUGAUUUAUGUCAUAAAUUGUUAUCACAAAAAAUUUAAAAUUCAAUCAAAGACUUAAACGAGUAAAUUAGUCCAAUACUUCAUGCACAUAUUAACAGGAAAGAUUUAUCAACGAUCAAAGAGAGCUUGCUAAAACUCUUGUUGAUAUUCACUCUCUCUAUUGGAUAACAAGAUGUUUGGCUACAACAAAACUAAGUUAUCGGUUUGUUUAAACACAUUACCUAUUAUACAUGCUACUCUCAAAUCUUCUCAACAAUUGCUUACAAACAUAACAGAAAUUAUCAUAUCAGAAGUGGCACAAUUCAUCUCAACGGUGAUUUCUUUAUCAUCCUUUUUCCUUUUUGCUUCAUUUCGUAUCACCUUCUCUAGUUUUCAUUUCAGGCUUUGAUUGUUGCAGUAUGAGCUGCUGAUGUACCACUCUAAACUUCUCCUUGAGCCUCUUAAUCUGGGAGAAGACACAAUUGUGUCAGAUAACAGACUUAAUAUUAGUAGUGAGAAGAAAAGAGAGAGAGGGAGAGCAUACCCUUCUUAGUUCAACCUCAGCAUCGCGCUUUCGCUGGCUUAAGGAGUGUACCAAAUUCGUGAUGUCGAAAACAUUAUCCAAUUCAUUUUCAAAAGCAGACUCUAAGUCCUCGCGAAGAAGUGCUGGCAACUUGUCCACUACUGGCAUUAGAAGAAAACAGUUGAACUGCAAAAAGAAAGGCGAGCUAAGUGAAGAACUUGGAAGUGGUUUUGAGACAUGGAUAGGUAAAAAUAGACAGCAAUAAAUGCACUUUGUUUUUCAGCACAAAGCAAUUAAGUCAAUGCAGGAACAUUAAAACCAUCGAAGCUCUGAAUACGAUACAAAAUAAUAGGAAGUAGGAACUCACACCUUUUGUUUCAAUAAGUGAGCUCACUCCUGGAGAAGCGCAUUGCACUAUUAUACUCAUCAUGACAAUGAAUUUUAAGAUUGAAUCUCAAGAUAAACAACUGUGUGUGAAAAAUUUUACAUAAGUUUUCUUUAUUUAACAAGAAACCAUCUUUCAAUAAUAGAUGGAGAGAUACAAGAUAUCCAAGGGAAAUGGCCUCCUAGAAGGAGAAGAAAGGAAAAACCAAUCAAAUAAAAUAGGCUAAAAAGGCAAAACAAAUAAUAUCCACGAGCAAAAGAAAAACAAGAGAGAAUUCGACACGUCUAAAAGCCUCCAAUGGGAAAGACUUAUCAUUCAAAGAGUGAGCCACUCCAAAAGAUAAAGACAUACCUCCAACAAUAUCCUUUGAGAUAGACGAUUUAUUUAGGGUCAUCCAACAAUUAAAAAAAAUAGAAGGCUCCUUUGAAAUUGGGGAGAAAACUUCACCAGCCAAUAAACAAUUUUACUAAAUGAGGUUGUUGUAUUAGCAUAUGAAGUUGCUGAGUUCAGUACUCCAACAUACUCUCCACACCAAUCAGUGCAACCAACUUUGAAAAUUGCUGAGUUAAUUGCGCCAACAACCAACUCCUUCUAACCAAUAUACUGUUUUUUCCACCUCCAUUGGAUGCAAGAAAAGUUCCACAAACCAACCAUACCGAUUGUAAUUUUUUAGAUCCUAAAGAAAUCAUUUUCAAGCUGCUUCUGUUUGGAUAAAUAAACAAUGAAAGGACUUACCCAAAGAGGAGCAACCAUUACCAUUGCAAAACAUUCAUGGAAGCGUAACUAAAUAAUAAUAAUAACAACAACAAAAAAUAAUUAAAGAAAAAAGAAAAAAAAAGGAACGAUCCCACUUUUUUCCUUCCAAUAAAUACUCAUAAAGAUAGAUUUCUUGGCCUCACACCUAUUCUCUAUAUUAGAACUACAUGACUUGAACUUACCUUAGAAACCUACGAGGACAGAGAAGAGAAUGUUUCUCCCAUUGGGGUAGUCUUUGUAGGAGAACUUCUAGGAAAGGACAUGGAUCAUCUACUCUAGAGUUGUCAGUUUACUCAUUCGGUUUUGGAGGGGUUUGUUUGAAACUUUUAGAGUCAGUUUAACCCAUAACAGAUAGACGAGUGUCAUCUGAUGAUGGAGGAGAUUUGGUUCCCUUUCAAGAGAAGGCUGGGUUUUAUGGAGAGCUGAAUAUUUUGUUGUUUUAUGAUGUAUUUUGAUCAGGAGAAAUAAUUAGAUAUUUUAGCUUAACGUCUCACUUUGGGCAGCUACGUCAAAAGGUUUUUGUAACUAUGAAGCCUUGUCCAUUAGACUAGUUCAUAUUUGGCCUUUUUUAAAAAAAAAAAAUUCGUGAGUAUCCAGGUCAGUUUACGUGCAUCUCAACUAAUCUCACAAGACAAGCCGUCUGACCCUACAACAUUUAAGUGUCAAGGUUACUUCCUAAAGUAGGUGACCAUCGAGAAUUUAUGGAGACUAUAUCUCUAUUUACCCCUAGAUCAACCCAGGAUGGUUUCCAAAUUUGGCUCCUUUUAGACUAUUGUUUUUGUAUACUUCUUGUUUUGUGUGUGUUCUCUUCUUGUACUUUUUCCAUUUUAAACUCAACAAAAGUUUGGUUUUCUAAUUAGAAAAAAUAAAUAAAAGAUAAAAAUACAUGCAUCAUUUAAAAAAUAAUAAUGAUGAUGAUAGUACUAAUUUUAAAUUAAAAGCAAAAAAAAACUAACUACAUCCAGCGUAGAGGAAUUGUUUGAUCCCAAGUUACUUUGGACAGAAGAAAAAUUACAAGUAGGUAUGUAAGACAUUAUCUUCAUAAGUCACAAUAGACCGCCUGAUCUAAAGAGGCUAAUGUCCAAACUCCAAAGUAAAGUGCAGAAGCACAUUAAAAUAAUCUAUUAAAAAAGAAAGAGGAGCGAGAGACCAACCUUUAGUUCUGCAGAAGCCAAGAAAUAUUCUCUAAUUCCAUGGAAUAUCUGCUGUACAAGAGCAUGAACAAUUCUUUCAGAUGAAGGAGCAAGCCUUCUGUUCCAAAGCGUGCAAUCUAAGAGAUCAACUAGCCUUGUUUCUGUUCCCUGAAUACAAGAGCUGGAGUCAAUUCCUGAUGCCAAUUGACUGAGCUUUACAUCUGGCCUUGGUUUAUUGUCUUGCCGCUCAUUGCUAAGAGAUCCAAAAGUUGAAUCUUGAGAAAGGCCACUAGAAGCCAAAUUCCCUCCCAUGAUGGAUUGAUCAUUUCCACAAAAAGAGUCUAGGAAGUGACGUAGCCCCGAUCGAUUCUACAGCAUUGCACAGAAAGAGAGAUAAGAUCCACAAUGCAACUUAAAUGGCAAGAACCGGGAAAAUUCUGCAAAUUUUCUUAAAAGCUAUGGAGAAGUGAGCUCAAAUAUAUGAUAUAUCAGACCAUGUACUUGAAAACAUGCCUUGCAAAAUAAUCAUUAUCAAAACAAAAGAAUAAGUAGUGAGUAGAAACACUAAAGUAUGGUGCAAAGUUAUUGACUCUUUGGAGAAACCAAUUUCAAAGUUUUCAUUAUAGACCUUGUUGUGAAGCGACCAUGAGACGUAGCGGGUAGUGCUAACUAAAUCUUCCAUGCAUCUGCAACAAGGAAUAAAGAAUUUGGUAUAAAACAAACCACAUGACCUAAUAAAAUCAUGCAUAAUGUGGUAAAACAUUCAUUAACACAUAUGUGGCCUACUUAUUCAAAAGCUUGCAAAUCUAAGAUACUUCUCACCUUAUUCAAUGCUGUAAUAAACAUAGUGGAAAACAUUUGUCAAAAACAUCUAUAUUCACAAUUAAGGUCAGCGUAAAAGAACUUUCCCGAUGCAUUAUGAAAUAACUAGAAGAAUAAAACCAUUUAUAAAAGUCUUUAAAAACAUAAACAUUCACUUACGAAUUUAGGUGUAAAUAAACUGCAACAAAAUUUGUAAUUUAGCUCAUAACGACUUUUGCUACCAAAACUUAAAAAAAAAGGUUGAUGAAAAAUUUUAAAGACUAACAUGACACUGCUGACGUUGUUGAAAAUGAUAUAUAAAAUAUUAUUUAAGAAAGUAACUAUCAAUAGACAUGAGGAGAUUGUUGGCAUGAGGUAACUUCCAAUAGAUGAGUUUUUUCAAAAUUGCUGUGUUUAGUAAUACUUGGUUUAGAUUUUCAUCAUUUUUGUCGAUAUAUUUGUUUUGGUCAAGGCUUAACCUUCACUUCAAGAGAAAAAGCAAUAAAAUUGCUUAAAAACAUUUGCUUGCCGGCAUGAAAUAUUAAGGUGUCCCAUUUAGUUUUAUUUAAAAUGAUUUUCGUAACCAGAAAUCAUAAUGUUCAAAAGAAUCAAAAUACAAAAUAAAUAACUACCAAGAAGGCAUCUUACUUCAAGGACAAGCCUCAAUGUAAGUGUGCACAGCACAUGCCUCAGCAUCAAAAUCCUUCUUUUUAAACAAUAAAUAAAUAUAUGCUCUAAAAAGAAACUACCAAGGUCUCUAAAAUAAUGUCACUUUAACUUCCCAAUCUCUGACCUUUUAAUUUGCUAUAUUUAUCAGUAUCUUAUUAUUUAUAAUACUAUAUUUCUCUCGUGCAUAAAAAUAACAAAUAGAUACACAAAACUUAGCAUUUUUUUUAAGCUUCUCACUCCUAAGCCUUACUUUUAAAACCUAAAAAACAUGUUAAAUCGUAAACUUGUAACUCCUUUGGUUUGAGGUGUCAUUCCCCCUCCCCUUCUGUAAUUUCAUACAUAAAUGAAAUUGUUUCUUACAACAAAAAAAUGUAAACUAGCAAGAUCCUAUUUUUUCAGUAUACUGAGCACAAAUUAUAGAAAGUUGAACAGAGGCAGAUUAAAAUGGCAGUAAUCUUGAAGAACCAAGUUGCUUACUUUUCACGGCAUGCCUUCUCAGUAGAUUCAGCAAAGUUGUUGAAGGCAGUAGAAACACGGUUGAGAAACACCUGGUGACCACUUAAAUACUCCCCAUCUUUCUGUAAGAAUUGCAAGUUAAGGUGAAAAUUCGUUUGCUGCUUCAUACUUUGAAGGGUUCUAAAGAAUAUUAAAUAACAAAAGAUAGUGUCAUACAAAAAGUUUUCAGAACAAGCUCAAACCUGAAGAAGGUAAACAGAAAUGGGAAGCAGUCUCUUCAAAAUGUGCAAUAGUCUACAGCCCAACUACAUCAAGUAUAAAACAUGUUAGUUUUCCAUAAUCAACAGCAGCAAACAAAUUACUUAACAAAUUCAUGAAGUUUACAAAAAAGAAUCCCACUGUUGGAGAAGUUGAGAGCCCCACAUUGAAAAAAACCAAGGAGAUUCAUACUCCAUAUAAGAUAGAUGGGCUACUCUUCUCAUUGCCAAUUGGUUUUGAGAUAGAACCUCCUACUAUCAAAUUUAAACAUCCACGAGAAUCAAACAUAGUGUUAAACCAAAACUUGUUUCAUUGAGAUUUAUUUGGUAAAUUUUCAUGAAACCUCCAUUGCUCUUGCUUCGGCACAUUGUUGCAAAGGGAAAAGGUAUAAUUUCAACAAUAGUCUUACUUCUCAAAUAUCAGAGGCAGAUAAAAUACGUUGCCAAAUAAAGCAUAGCACAGUUAUUUUUCCGAAGAAACAAAAUAUAGAAUCAUGAUAGCAUGCUGAGAAAUAUAUAACUGGGCACUACAGUAUCCCUUAUUGAAUGAACAGGCAAACUUUUUAUAAUCUCUUCUUCUUCAUUCCACCUAAUGAUUUUCUUUUCUUUUUCUUUCUCUUUUUCUUUUUUUUUUUCUUUUUUUUUUUCUUUCUUUUUUUCUUUCUUUUUUUCUUUCUUUUUUUCUUUCUUUUUUUCUUUCUUUUUUUCUUUCUUUUUUUCUUAGGAAUAAUGAACUUUUUCUUAUUCAUAUAUUUUAAAAAAAUAUAUGUAUGAUUUGGCAUAACAUAUCUACUUGGCCGAUCUUUUGGUGGCAAUAUUGGAUUUUUUGUCUCAUUUGACUUCUUUAAUGGAAUAAUUUUGUUUAAAACGUAGGAGGUUGGUUUGGCCAUAUGCCAUUAAACGAGCUCAUUUUCUUUCUUGGUUGUUCCUUUUUUUUUUUCUUUUCAAACAUCGAGGACAAUUUUUCUUUUUAGAGUCAAAUGAUGUAAAGAAGAAUAGGGAUUAAUUAAGUAAUUAAGUAAUGUUCUAGGUUAAUUCCAUUAUGACCCCCACUUCUAAUAAAACUCUAUAAAUAGGAGUUUCCCAUUUUGUAUGAAACACAUUAUUCAUUCUAAUAAAAGAUUUACAAUCUUGAUUCUAGGAGGAUUUCUCCUUGAGGCUACUUUAGGCUAAAUUAAUAAGGUAAUAAGAAAAAGGUACUUUAGGUAUGCACUAAAAAGUAUGUGAUUCAACAUUAGGUGCCAAAAAGGUAAUCCCUUCACUCUUUUGCAGAUCAAGAAUUAAAGUAUGAGAAUUGGAGUAAGACAAAGAGGCGACAAGAAAAAAUGAAAAAAGAGAAAAAACUACCUUCCAUCAAAAUGACUCAAAAGAUAAGUAAACAAAUGUAAGAAGUUGAAACAAUUGAGAUAUACAGAAAUAUCACCUGAUGAAGAUAUGGUUCAAAGGUAUCUCGAGCCUUGGCCACAGCUAUUACACAAGCCGUUCUAACCAUUCAUUAUAAAUUGCAAAGGAAAAUAAUAAUUAAGAAUAGGAAAAAUAGGAAUAAUUCACAUCUAACAAACGUAUUACGGAGAUCAUGAGCACGCAAAAACAAUAGUACCUAGAGUAGUUUGCUCCAUCAUGUAUGUCCUCAACUCCACAUGCAUUUACAAUUUCUUCCCUUGUAAUUGGAGGACACUUUGUGCCCCCAACAACAAAACGGAACUCAGCCAUAGCACGAUGAUAUUGUGCACCACCAUAUAAACGCAUGCCUGCAUUCUUUUUCACAAAAACAAUAUAUUCCUUAUUAUAAAACAGAACAAUAAUACAUCUCGCUUAUAUUGAUGCCUUAGGUCUCAGCAUUGGUGUGUAAAGAAGGCAUAAAGCAGAACCAAAAGUUCAGUCCACAUAUGACAACCAACUUGACAAGAUUUGAGUUGAAAAGAACAAUAUUUACCGGGAUUAGUUUCUGCGGAAAUUGAAGACCAUCGGUACCAACAAAAGCCCCUCCAUUGAUUCUUUCAUCUUGAAGUGUUUCACCUGCAUGUCAUUUUUUUCUUUUUUGAUAAGUUGAGAAAAUUUAAUUGAAAAAAGAAACAACGUAGAAGAAGCCAUCUGGACAAGAUGACCCUAUGCCUAAAAGGAGUAAUCAUAUAAAGUCGGAGAGGAAAAUAUAGAGACAAAGAGACAGAAAGUAUUUUACAGUAAAAUACAUUUUUUUAAACAAAAGUACAAAACAGAGCUAGGUUUACAUGUUCAAAACUUUUUAUUUCAAGCGUCGUUAAAAUUACCAAAUUUAUCUGGAGGAGCAACAACUGUUCCUUUUAAUAGCAAAGAUAACUGCAUAAAGAAAAAGGCCAAGUCAUAUAGAAAUCUCAAUCCAUUAAAUAGAAGUAUUUCUCUGAGCUUUUUAAAAAAUUCAAAAUAAUUUCAUUCUUUCCAAGAAAGAACACUAAAUUGAAUUCCAAUCCAAAUUUAUCAAAGAAAAGAAACAAAUAAUUGAAACAAUUUUGUUGAUAAAUAUGAAACGAAAAAAACUCCUUAAAGUGAAGAAGAGCUAAUAAAGGAUUUCUUUGCACACAUUAUAGCUAAUGAGUAUUAAGUAAUGAAGAACAAUAAGACCAAAACUUUUGAUACCAAGAAGAUGAAACGAAAAUAAAAACUUCCCAAACAUCUUCAAUCUCUCUACAUUUUUUUAAGAACAAAUUACUCUCUUAAUUGCUAAAUACUACUAUUUUUCCUCUUAGUCUUUUUUUUUUAUAUGCAGGGUGGAGGAUCAAACUUCAAACCUUGAAGGCCCCAUUAACAAGGUCAUCUUCCUAGCGAGCCUAUCUAAAAAGUAAUGAGCAACGCAAUUGUAUCUUGUGGUAAAGGUUGUUUAGGUUUUGCCGAGCCAAUUUUGUUUUGUUUUUUUUUUUUUUUGUAGAUUUUAGAGAUGGCAAUGGCGUUAUGGGGGGGAGUUAACCUAAUUGAGAUGCUCGAAUGCGCUUGCUAAUCCAAUUGCAUUGCUCGUUAUAUAGCCCUCUUGUACUAUGAGCUAUUGUCUCAUUAUUUAUAACUUCAUUAAUAAAGAGACUGGUUUCCUUUUUGCAAAGAAAAAACAAAUUCAUCCACCCAAGUAAAUUUUGAAAAAUAACCUGAUUUUCUUAGGAAUCUUAAUCCUCUAAACCACAUCAAAAAUUCACUCCCUAGUGGAGGAGGGAUCCAAAAACAAUCUAAAGAAGGAUUUACAAGAAAAGAGACAACCUUGGUCAUUUCCCUAUUGGAAAAAUAACAACAAAACCCUAAAGCCUGAAUUUACCUAUACUCAUUAGUUUAAACUAACUCAAUCAACGAUUUAAGAUGGUAGCAAAGCUGGUAGAUAUAAAAUUAAAUUUACCUACACUCAUUGGCUUAAGCUAUCGAUUUGGUCAUGGUUUCAUAAAGUUGAACAUUAUUAAAUAAUUAAGUAGGUCAAUUAUCCUGUUUAUAUUAAUCAUAAUACAUCGCCACAAUACGAAGAUACAUGUAAGAUAGACCUUCGUCAAAAACAAGUCAUGAAAUGUUCUUCCUUUCUCCUUCAAUGUUACUUCGUCCAAAUUACUGCAUGCAGAAAAUAAUAAAAAAAAAAUCAAAACAAUGGAGGAGAAUUUAAUGAGAACAGAUGCAAGGUACUAAAUAAUUAUAUGCAGUGACAAAAAUUAAGAGAAGUCCUUGCCAAGGUUGUAGCAGGUAGAUUAAGGGAAGUGCUCCCAAAGACAAUCUCAUAUUCUCAGGGUGAUUUUAUUGGCACUGGAAAAAUCUUGGAAAGCUUUUGUAGCCAAUGUUAAAAGUUGUAAGUCAGGGGAGAUUACUUUUAUGAUUGAUCAUGCGGCUUAAGAUUUCUUGGAUAAAAUUUUUAAUAAGAAAAGAUUCAGACACAAGUGGAGAUCAUAGUUUUAACUACAUUAGAACAUGAGAUAUUUAACCCUUAAUGGCAAACCAAGAGAUAGGCUGUAUGCCACAAGAGGUCUGUGUAAGGAAACUUCCACACCAUGUAUUAAAUCAAUCGAUAUGAUGAUAGUUAGCCCUAAGACAAUCCCUCGAGAAGAACUCAGACAGAAAUAGAGGCAUAACAUGAGAACGAUGAAAGAAAAGGAUAACCCUAUUACCCAACUAAUACACUUCAGAAACACUACCAAUGGUCCCCACACCCAAUAUUCUCAUUGCACUCCUCACUCCCAUGUAACUAAUAAAUUGCUUCUCCUGUCAUGACCUUUUUACUUCUUUUGUAGUGAUAUACAAUCGAGAAGGAGGCCUAACAGUCCAAGACCAGAAAAUCCUCUCUCCCCUUCCUUGCUUUGCCUUGUUGUGGACAGUCUAAAUGGAACUUCCUACAGGGCAUUCAAGUCAACAAAUCCAAGUUCACUAUAUCACACCUCCCCUUAGCUUUUCUAGAAAAACAGAAACCGGACCUCAUUGAUGUGCAGGAUAUCUCAACUAGAUUGACACAUCCUUAGCAUCAAUAUGAUGUCCAGUACAAAUACAAUCAUAAAAGAGACCAAUCUUGAUACUAACAGCAAACAACAAGACUAAACAAAAUAAGGUAGAGACCGACAACACAAGUAAAAAAUCUUUGGUCAGUAAAAAUAAAAGCUCUCCAAUUUAGGCAAAAGUUUUGGAUGGAAAAGUCCACAGAUGCCUAAGCCUUAGACAGACAACACCAAGAAGAGGCAUUAAGACGAGCAAUUAAACAUAAAUGCAUGUAUGCUACUAUUACCAGCAGUUCCUCAUGAAAAUGCUUUAUCUAAAAGAAAACACUGACCUGAGUUCUUGAUCAAUCUCAUUCAGUUUUCGAGUUGUGCUCCUGUACUCCUUAUCAAGAAGUGAAAUGAUCAAGGGCACGCUAUCCAUAUACCUAAUAAGAUAUUCAGAUCUUCUGAUAAAUACAAUAUCAUUUAAAAGCUUAGUCAAUAAAUUAGCAAACAAAAAGAAUGCACAUCUGCUACCAGACCGUAGUUGAGAGCAACAUUAAGGGUGUGUUUAGGGUUAAAAGCAGUAUCCUAUCAGCAUUUAGAAUCUCCUAAAAUCAUAUGCUUUUAUUUUUCAGGGUUUUGCAAAAAUAGCAAAAAAAAAUUAUGAUAAUAGAGCUCAUGUCACAACAUUUCCUAAAUUUGCAAAAGUAGCAAUUUGAAAAAUUAUGGCCCUAUGAUAGCCCUCCAAAAGCCCCUAUGAUUAUUGUCUGAUAGCUGUCUGAUAUCACUGAUUUCGACAUAUUCGCAAUAUGCAAAAAAUUGGUGUCAUGAGCAGUUUUUAUCAUUUGAUGCAAUUUUCCUUUAUUUUGUAAUAAAUAUUUAAUUUUCAGUUUUGUCAUUUAAAAUAUCUACAAUAUUUACAAAUAUAGAAAAAAUUUACUUUUUAUCAAUGACAAACUACGAUAGACAGCAAUAGACUACUAUCUGCGUUGUGAUAGACCCAUAUAGUAGUCAAAUGAAAUCUAUCGUUGAUAGACUAUAAUACUUUGCUAUAUUAAUAAAUAUUUUCAACAGCUUUGUCAUUUUUAAAAAAAAAUCAUUUAAAAUUAAGAUUCAUUUUAUACAUCUAUCCAUUCCUCGUGUAAUCAAAUCUAUCUUCUAUGUUUCAUUAGUUGAAUGUAUCAAUUUUAAAAGAAUAAUACAUUAUUGAUUUAAAAAAAUGAUUCCCCUUAAUAUUUAAAAAGCAAUCUAGAGCAAACAAAAAAUAUCAUUCUAAAAAAUUAUGUUAAAUUAAAAUCUAUUAAAAAAUAUUGUAAAUGACAAAACUUUUGAAAAUAUUUACAAAUAUAGCAAAAUAUCGCAAUUUAUCUUGAUAGACCAAGAUGCUACCAAUGUCUAGCAUGAUAGAGACGAUAGGUUCAUCAUAGAUAGAUUGUGAUAUUUUGUAAAUAUUUUAGUUCAUUUUGUUAUAUUUGAAAAUAGACAAAAAAAAAAAAAUAUUGACCCAAAAAAAGUUAAUUAGUUAUUUAUAUUUAUUUAUCAAACACCAUAACCUACUCUUUAAGGUUUCAAGCUAAAAUUAACAAACACUAAUUUCAGAGCUGAAUUUUCUAGAAGUACAGUUGCCAGCGAUUAUUUUAAAAGCUAUAGCAACCCCAAGCUAAACCUAAGAAAAGCAAACAACCUUUUCUGUAGCAGUUCUUCUAAGAACGUUCUCAAUUUGCUUACACCAAUUCUCACUUUUUCUUUCUCAGCCAAAGGUCGGCAUAACUUUUCCUCCAAAAGGAUAAUGUCUUCCUUCUCUCUCAAAGCUAUAGCCUGCACCAGAAAUACAGGUAACCACUUAAAACGUCCCAAAGUACAUACAACUAACUCAAUCCUGAAACCAAACAAAUAUACAGACGAUUAAAUUUCAAACAACUAUCAAGUUUAUCAUCACGCUCAAUAAAUGUACAAGCAUAAAAUACCCUUAUGCAGAUUCAAUUCCAGUAGCAUUUUUAAUCAUAGAGUCUCAUUUCUUUUCCUUGUCUUUCUUUGUGAUAGGAAACUGAGGUGCAUUUGGUUGGAGAUCUAGAAACAUACAUUUGAAAAUAAGACAGUAAAAAAAAUAUAUUUUUUUAUAUGAAACAAAUUUGUAUAUUCAGCCAAAAAACAAAAGAGAACAAAGUAAAGGCGAGGGGUUGAGACAACCCCCAAAAGAAACUAUUGAAUAAGAACCUUCCAAUUUGUUAAAAAUCAUGGAAAGAUAAUUACAAAAAACUUUGAUGUAAUUCAAACACCACCAAGAGGUUGUGUGUUUCACAACCGUCAAAAAAGAAUUCAGUAAAAAAUUUGUUUAAAAACAGAAAGAUUGUGUUCCAUGUUUUCAGUGUUUUAGACUAGAAGUUGUUCAAGUUGUGUUUAGAGAUACAUACAUUUUGAUAAACAAGAUGACCAAUGGUAAUUACCAACCAACUGAAACUUUCGUUCAAUCUCAAAUAUUAUUGACGAACUUAUCUACCUACCAUCCACGAAUAGCAACUCUACUACAAAAAUGGAAUAUACAAACAUGUUAACAUAAACAAGGAUUAUUAGAGAGAGAAAAUGUAUGUGUGUGUAUCUAAAGAUAAUAUAAUUUGGAUCAAAAUACCUCUUUGAACUCAUCAUUUGAUUUAUAAACAGAAUCAUGUGCAGAACCAACUCUGCCUGAAGGAACAGAUGUGAAAAAUGGAGAGUCCCCCAAUAUGAUGCCAUCGAGUGCACAAGAGGGAGGCAAAAGAAAGACUUCCACAUCUGAAGAACGAGCAAAUUGGGGUAUCUUGGUAUCAAGUUUGGUUGAUACAAUCACAGUCCUUGAGAGUUCAGGAUCAAUCUACAAUGAAAUUUGGGUUGUUUCAUACCAUUCCCACUAUUUAGUAAAGCAUUCAGCUAACAAAAGCAGGUCUGUUUUCUUGAAGAUCAAAAUAAAGAACUGAUGACAAAGUCACUAAAGUUACGUUUCACAUGACACUCUGAACGCUCCCCAACAAAAACACAUUUUCCAAUAAUCUAAAAAGCAGAACUAAUGAUACAUUCUUCGCAAAAACAAUACAAAAUGGAACAAGAGUUUAAAGUAUGUAUGCGUACUUGCAUUACGACCCUUCGAGUAGUCGCAUUACUCCAGUCACUACAAUCUUCAAGACACAAUAUGAUGAACUCUCUGUGCUGCAUUUUAGCUCGUACUAGUGACUCGACUGCACGAGCUUGAGCCUUGAACAGAGGCACCUCAUUGACUCAUUAGCAUCAAAUUCAGGAAUGAAACAUUACCCAAAACAAAAAAAAAAAAUGUAUCAGUAGCAAUCGAAUUCACCUGCAACACCCGAUUCUUUCGACCUGGAGCUGGAGCAAUGAGCCCAGGAGUGUCAAUAAUCGUAAGAUUAGGGCAAUACUUAUACUCCACUUUAAUAAUUAUUUCCUUGGCCGAGAAUUGACUCGUUUCACUCUCCAACCUCAUAUUUUCAGCUUCAAUGAAUGCCUGUAGAACACGAGGAGAGAAGACGAUUACAAAUCGGGAGGUUAACAGCCAAAAGCUUGGUCAGCAACCAACAAUACCUGGAUUUCGUGGAGAGAUUUAUGGAUGGCGGCAGUGGGGUCGUCAUCGGAGACAAGAUGACAGACGGGAGUUUCGCAGUCGGGGUCGUACUUCAUGUGAAGAGUAAUGGGUCGGCGAGUCUUGGUUCCGCCACCGACGUGGUUGAAUUGGAAGCCCAUGAGAGCUUCAACCAAGGCGCUUUUGCCAUCGGUUUGGUGGCCGACCACGAGGACUGCAGGAGCGUCGAAAGGAGUGUGGAACUCCUGAGCGAGGCCAUGAAGCUCGUUGUAAGCUUCGUAGAGUCGCCAUUUGUCAUGGUCCACCGCCAGUGGCUCUGCUCCACUCUCCAUUUCCGUUAUCCUUUUAUGUAAAUGGCGACGCGAGCUAUACAACAAUGGGGAAGGAGAGAUAAUAACCACUCCGCCGCUGACAAACGGAAAGGAGGAGAAAUUGAGUUUGAAUGGCCCUUUCUUUUCCCACUCAAAUUAUUGCUUACAUCGUCAACCGAACGUUCCACUUCCACGUGACUUGGACGAAGGGGUAAUUAUGUAGAUGCGAACUCCAUAUUCAUUUUUACCAUUCAACCCAAAAUAAUUCGUCUCUCUAUUCCAAUCUGAUUUCCAUUUAUUUUGUUCGUUCACUUCCCUCUUUCCUUUGAUUUUCUUUUUUUUCGAUUUCAAUUUCGGAAUUUCUAAAUCACAUUCCUGAAUGAAACAAAGAGAGAAAUUGACAACCAAACAUGACCGACUACUAGUAAAACGAUGAAUGAUGGAGGUAACAAGCUAACAACGUUCUUUUGUAGAGUAAAAUAUAUCAGUCUGGCGGCAUGAGGCACGAGAGAGAUGUGGAGUGGGGCUGCAACGUGCAUAACAUGUGAUGAGUUUUGUUUUUCUAUUUGAAUUAAACUCAAUAAUUUUGUGAGGUGGAGUUGCAUUAUGCAUAAAGUUGUGUUUUUACGUGAAUCAGGAAGAAUUCCUACAAAUUAUAAAUAUGAACACUUGGUUGGUUUUAAUUUAAUUAUCAACAGUGUUGAUGUUUAAAAACUCAAUUAGGUAAUAAGAUGUCAAUUAGAUUGAGAUUGAUUACAUUUGGGUGGAAUAGUUUGACUUAUUUAUUGAAUUACAUUGAAGAUAUGUAUGGUUUGAGAUGUGGAGUUCAUCAUAAAUAAAUAUACAAUAGCAAUUAGAUAACACAAUCAAUAUCACAUAUAAAUUAAACAUGUCAUAUAAUAAAAACUAAUCAUAUGACGAUUAAAAAAGACAAUCAAACAAUAUAAAAAAAUUACUCUCAAACAAUCAUAACGUUAUGUGACUAUUUAAUUAAUUAAAACUGAAAAAAACAACAAAAGAUAAUUAGAAGGUGGUCAAAACAGUUUCUCAUUCGUAUUAAAAUUGAGAAAAAAGAAGGGAUAAAAUUGAGAAACAUAACUAUCUCAUCUCAUGAACUAUAAUUGAAAGAAAAAAAAGUAAUAAAAAAUCAUAAAUCAAAUUAAAUGAUUAUGUGAUAAGGUUAAGUAUAAUUGAAAAAAAAAAAUAAAAGUACGAGGUGUUAAUUUUAAUCAAAUAGUUAACUAAAAGUAAAAGAAAAAAAAGGUAGAAGAGGAUCUUAUGACAAUGCUGAGAAAAUUAAUUAAAUGACUGUCACAGUGUAUUUUUUUUACCGUGAUUAAACUAUAUAGUUGUUUUUUCAUGGUGACAGUGUUUUCAAUGUUGUGAUAUUAUAAAAAAUUAUCUAGAAAUUAUCUAGUAAUUAGCAAAAAAAAAAAGAAAAAAUAAUAAUGGAAUUAUAUUACAAUCAUAAAUGUAACAAAAAAAAAUACUGACUUGAACAAAUUAAAGCCUGCGAAGGCACAAUCAUUUUUUCACUUUUUUUUCUUUCUUAUUUGGUGUUUAAUCAUUAUAUUACUUUUAAAUUUUUAUUUUUUUUCCAUUUUUAUAUAAGAUCUAAAUGAUCGUGUAUCAAUAUUUAAAUGAUUAGUUGUUUAUAUAAAAUAAAAAGAUAUAAACCACUAUCACUAAUAGAUCGUUUGGAUUUUGUAUAAGAUUGUUUAGAUUGAGUACCAAAUCGUUUAUAUAGGUACAUGGGUCCAUAAUCGUUUAGAUUGAGUAUAAGGUUCAAGAUCUUUGUAUUGUGGUACAAUAUCAUUUAGACGGUAUACAAAGUCGAUUUUUCACUUGUGUCUUGUCUAAUUGAUCAAUCGAUAUAUAUUUUUGUUAUUGCACAUCGUGAGCUUGUAGAAUUUUUUAUUUUUCAAAAUUAUUCAAUAAGGUGUAAAUAUUUUCGUAAUUGUUCUAUUAUUGAAAAAACCCUAAAAAAUCAUUAUCAACCGAUAAAAAAUGAAAGGUAAUCAUACGCAAUAUGAGUGUAAUAAAUAAGUACUAAAUACUUGACAAAAGUUGAAAGACAACAAGAUUGUUAUCGUAAAUUAAUUAGUAACUACAAAAAACAUGCAAGGUCAUGGAAUAACUUAGUAUCAUUUGCAUUAAAUAACAAUAAAUGUUAAACUAAAUAACAAUCAAAUGGUAAAUCAACGUCAUUAACCAUGAACAUCAAAUAACAAUAAAUUGUUUGUGGAAAGGGUCGGGUUAUAAAUGACUAGUGUUAUGUAAACCUACUAUUAUGAUAAUACAUGUGUGAGGAAGAGUAACGUAGGAACACUUAGGAGGUAGUUAUGAUAAAUGUGUUCGGGGGAAUGAUUAACUAGGUAGAAUUAUGAAAUUUAUUUCUUUAUACACUUUAAAAAGAAAUCGUACUCUAAAUUAAAUACACAAAAUUUGUAUAUUUAAUUUAUUAAUUUGUCAUAUUUUCAUAAAACAUUUUUCAAUAAUUUAUUUAAAUAUAGUGUGUAUUUUAAAUAAUUUUUACAUGUAAAUAAUUUAUCGAUGUAAAGAAAAAACUAUUUUCUAAAUCCAAUACACAAAUUUCGUAUAUAAUUCCUCAAAAUGUCUUACUUUCAUAAAACAAUUUUCAGUAUAUUUUUUAAAAUAUGACGUCAAUUUUCAACAUUUUUACGUAAUUGUUAGGUGCGAAUAUUUUUUAAAAUUCAUAUUUUAACUCAAAAUACACAAAUUUCGUAUAUUUGAUUUAUCAAACCGUCAUAGUUUUCAUAAAAUAAUUUACCUUAAUUUUUUCAAAUACAAAAUGGAAUUGUAUGAAAUUAUUGGAGAUUUUUUUAAGAAACCAUAUUAAAAAAUUUUCUUCCAAACUCAAUAAAAGACAUGAAAUAAUAAUUCUUUUAAAAAAGAUGAUUAAACUAACUAAAAAUAGUAAAAUUUUAAAAAUAAAUGAAAUAAUAAAAUUACAGAAAACAGAAUAGAGUUUAGAAUUACGGGGAGUUGAAGAAGAAUUGAAAAAAAAGAGAGAGAAGAUGAGUUAGGAUAAACCUAAAACAAGUUAUGAUAACCUUUCCUCCAAACAAGAAUUGAGUUAUCAUAACUUACGUACAUAGUAAUAAUCCUUGGGCCAAACAAGUAAAAGAAUAAUUAGAUCAACAAUCAAAUAACAAUUAGAUGAUAAUCAAAUACAAUUUGAAACGGGUCAUCCAAUAAUUUCAAUUCAAAUGUUCUUAUUAAUUUGCUAUUUCUCUAGAUUUUAAAAUAUUUGGUUAUCGAGUUAAUCUUUAUUUUAUAUUUUAUCCAUUUUUUUUAUAAAUACCAACUCCACCAGCUAAGUCUGCAACCAACGUUGAUGAAUAUUUUGCCAUAUACAAUUAAUUUUCACUUAUUUACAUCAAAUUUGGGUAGAAAUUUAAAACCUAAUCAUUCAUGAAAAUGAUUUAAUAUCCUUUUCAAAUUUUCUAAAUCUGCUUCCAAUCCUACCUUAAAAGUUCGAACAUACAACCAAAUGCUAUAUUUUAAAUUUCAUAUUCAAAAUAGAAAAAGUUUUUCUUUUGUUCCAUUUUUAUUAAAAACAAAUUGUCAAAAAGAAAAAGAAAAAAAGAAAAAAGGAAAAAAAGAAAAAGAAAAAAAAGGGUAGGAAAGAAAGAAAACCCUAAGCCCCAUGAGCCCCAUCCACUUCCUCUUCCUUCUCCCUCUCACGUGUGCUCAAGCCGCCAUACACGCACCGCCCGUCCUCUACACCUCCGGCGAUCCUGUCUCCUCUCCGACGCUAUUGCGGCAGUUCACCCACCCUCGAACCACCGGUGAUUCUCAUCUUGGACCCAUACUCUUCUUCGUUUUACUUCUCUUGCUGCUACGCUUGGUGAUAACAUUACACACUCUACAAAGAGAGACUGGUUUAGGAAUUGUUGCCCUAGGGAGAUGGGAGCUCUUGCCCCUGUCGCGCCUUGGACUCCUGAAGACGAUAUUCUGCUCAAGAAUGCCGUUGAGGUAAAACUAUUUCCUCUCUUUUGAAUUAAACUCCUUUCGAGAUUCACGCGUAAGACUUGUUAUCUUUGAUUACUCGGUCUUGUUUGUCUCUCUCAACUGUGGUUCGGGGUAAUUCAUUUUCUUACCGCUCAACUGAUUUAAAUUUGAUUGCUGUUUGGUUUCUUUCUGUUGAAUGCCUUCAUUUUUUCUCCCCACAUAGUGAUUAUGUUUACGAUGUAUGGUCACUCUCACACGAAGUUCAAGUUAUGGUACGCGGGAUGUUUGUGCUAGAAAAUCCGUGGGAGGAUGAUUCAGAUAGGAACUUUUUCUUUAUAAUUGGAAAGCAUUUAACUGCCCUAUCUAUCUGGAAGUUAUAAUUUGAUAAUUAAAUACCAAUAAUAGGUCGUUUAGGUCCUGUUCGAUAACCAAUUUGUUUUUGGCUUUUAGUUUUUAAAAAUUAAAGCAAUAAAUACCCAUUCCACCUCUAGAUUCUUACUUUAUUACCUACUUUCGAACAAUGUUUAAAACCAAGCCAAGUUCUGGAAACUAAAAACAUAGUUUUUUUAAAAAGACUGUCUUUGGUAACUAUGCUUAAGGUUCUUUGUAUACGUGCUAGUUGUUUUGGAAUGCAUUUCAACACUUUUUUGCUGUCAAGGGAACUAGUGUAUUGGUGUUUUUUUUAUACACAUUUUUUUAUAAACUUCCAGGCAGGUGCUUCCUUGGAAUCCCUUGCUAAAGGUGCUGUGCAGUUUUCUCGAAGAUACACAGUAAGAGAAUUACAAGAACGAUGGCAUUCUUUACUUUAUGAUCCAAUUGUAUCUGAAGAUGCAUCUAUGUCCAUGAUUGACUUUGAGCGCUCUUCUCCCCUUCCGUCAAAGUUUAACAAAUUUGGUAAUCCAAAAGAAACUAAAUGUAUUGGUGGGAAGAGAAAAUAUGGGACUGUACGUCGUCGCUAUUAUACUCUGCGUAGAAGAAUUUGCAAUGAACCAUUUAACCCUAUGGACCUGGGUUUUCUUGUUGGACCCAGUGAUAGUAACUAUGGUGUUGAAGAACCUAUAUCAGGAAAUUGUAUUCCUCCAACAUCAGAUGGUUUCGGACUUCAGGGCUCAGAGCUGGGGAUCUUGCAAUGUAAUUUUGCUCAAAAUGGGAUGAAUACUGAUGAUGCAGAACACACUUUUCAUUCUGAAUGCCAACAUACAGUUGAAAAGCAUUUUUCUAGGAGCCUUGAGAAUGGACAGGAGGGAAUUUCUCACAUUAUGGGAGAGAGUCUUCCUCUCUCGGCAAAUGAAUCUCAUGUAGAAGAAAUGGCUCCAUCAGCUGGCUUUCCAGUCCACAGUCUCUUUGAUAAUGAUUUAGAGGUGAGACAUUCUACUUUUGGUCAACUUAGCAAUGAUCAGAGAGCAAUGGGCUCUGAACUAGAGGAUAAUGAUGUCUUUAAUUCUCCUGUUUCUGAUUCUGGUGCAUCAUUUCACAAUGUUGAGUACUCAUCUCCUCUUCCUGGUAUGCCAAUAUGGAGAAAUGCCUCAGCACCGGCCUUGCCUAUUGAUGUUGGCUUUGCAGAUAAGGAUAUGCCUAUAGGUGACUCUUUUGAUCUACCUGAUGAUGAUGGGAACAAAAACAUUCAAAAUGCAAGACUAGCAGGCUAUGAUGCUCAUUCUGACUUGAAGUUGAAGAUUGAAGUCCAGCACGACCAUUUGAAAAGUCCAAAUGCCACUGCUGAAGUUGAUUUUGCAGAAUUGUCUAAUUCUCUUUUGAACUUAAGCAAUGAAGAUGAGCUACUUUUCAUGGAUGUUGAUGGAAAGGAUGUGAUUGAUAAGUCAUAUUAUGAUGGUUUAAGCUCACUUUUGUUGAAUUCACCUAAUGAAGUCAACCAUGACCAAACAACUACUGGAAUUAAUGCAGAAACAGGGUGGCCAACGGAUGCAUUGGUAGACCCCCCCACUGCAUGUUCUGGAAAGUUAUAUGAAAAAGAAUCCCAUGGUGGUGUUGGACAUUUGGAUUGUAGUUCAGAAGCCCAUCCGUCACCAUCCGCUUCUUUAGGCAGUCAAUGCCCUGGAAAAGGUAACGAACCUCUUUUUUGCGCCUUGAACACAGAAGACCCAGAAAUCCCGAGCAAUGACGAUGUUUUUCUACCUCCGUUAACACCAAUGGGGAGCCAAUUUCAAGAUUCUACCUUUUCAUCUACCAAGGAUUUCACUUAUGAUGAGAAAUCUGGUGAGACUCAGUACCUUGUGAGGGAGAGGAAAAAUCAUGGACAACCUCGUGCAUUGCACGGUUUCCCUGAAAGAGUUGAAAAGCAUCUGGUUGGUGGAGCUUCAGUUAAUUUGAACAAAUUAUCCCAUGGCAACUCCAGACACUUGUCACCUGUGAAUAAUAUUAGCUCAAUAAAUGUAAAUAGUGAUGCUAUCCAGCCUGUUGUGUUCAAGGAAGAAAACAAUGAAAUUUCUCGGGUAAAUCAUCUUGGCCAAAAUUUUUUAAAUGCUCAUGUAGAGAAGCCAGGCUUUGAUUCUGACAAUGUUAGAAGAUACACACCAAGUGCUGCUUGUGGCAUUAAACAGGAACCAGAUAUAUUGGCUACAUUGAAAGAUCAUCGUUUAUCACAGGAAGAGGGUACUCAAGGUGUUUUUUGUGCAGAACAGGAUGGAAUAUCUUCGACAUCCGAUCAAGAUGAUUUAUUAUCUAUUGACAGUGAAGACGACAUACCACAUUUUUCAGAUAUUGAAGCAAUGGUAAAUUUUUUGUGAUAAUUGGUUGAGUGACAGAUGGUUAUUUGUAACUCUUGCUUCAUUUGUCUCUUACGGGUUUUUAAAACUCUCUUUCAGAUACUUGAUAUGGACUUGGAUCCAGAAGAUCAGGAGCUGUAUUCUAGUGAAGAAGGUAACGUAUAGAUGACUAAUAGUUAUUAAAUUAUUAAUUUUUAUUCACGUUAUUUCUGGUUAAAUCAGUUCUUAAAUAUGUUGCUGUCUUGCUAACUGCAAAUCCUACUGUCCUGGUCAUGUGAGGAUGAAAUAGCCAUGAACUAUUAUUCAUCUGUAUGUUUGCAUAUGAUGUUCCAUUUGCUUUCAUGGAAUUUUAGAUCUGAUAUCAUAAUACAGGAUCGAAGUGCCCUCUUUGUUUUGUCUUUUUGGAUAAUCAUUUAAUUUAAAUAGAUUAAAAUCAAUAGUGUUUCUAAAUUCUGUUUUUGGUUUGAAGUUAUCCAUAUUGAAAUUGUUAGAAUUUGCAGGGUUUUGAUUCAUGAAAAAAGAUUUUUUAUAAUUUGAGUGCAAAUUAUUCAUUGGAUUCAUCAUAUUUUGGAUUUUCAUUCUCAUGUAGUCAGGUUUUAUAUAGUUAAAAGGGUAUAAUGAUGAACUAUGCAAAUUCUUAGCACUUCUAGUGAACAUUAGAAACAACUUUUUUAUAGUUUCAUUAUUCCUACUUUAUCUCCUCUGGAAUAAAGUAAUGAAUGUCAGUAAGUUUAUUGUCAAUUAAAUUCAUUUAUGGUACUUUCUUGGUUCUAUUUUGGUCGGUGCUCUCCAUCAAUGGAUUGCAUUAUUAAGAUGCUUUUAUUCUCAUCUUUUAAAUGCUUCGUAAGAAAUCUAUUUAGACAUGUAUAAUUCGCACAUGCUCGAGUGUAGUGUGCAAAUUUGUUAUAAAUUGUUUUGUAACUAUAUUGGAAAAUAUUGUUAUGGCAAAUUGAUACAGAACCUCCUAUAUAUUCCAAGCUUGGUUUUUGAAAGAAGUCAAGUUUCCAUGUUUUGUAUCAGUAUUAAAUUUCAAAUAUUAGUUGGCUUUUGAUAGCUAGCUUAUAAAUACUCCUAAUACAUUGUAGCAAGAACUAGCCUGUUGAUGAUUCCACUGUCAGCUACUGUGUGCGUACAAGUGGCUGCACAUUAAUCUCACUUUACGUGAUCACUCUAUUGCAGAUCCACGUGGUUGUGAUCCAAGUUUAGCUUUUCUUUAUUUGUACACUAUCAGUUCUAUUUACCGAGUAACAUUCUAUUUAUUUUAUCCUCACAUGCUUAUAUUCUUUUUUAAUUUAUAGUCUUAAAAUACCAACAUGUGGAGACACGGAAGAGCAUCAUAAGACUGGAGCAAGGGGCUAAUGCUUGCACCCAAAGAUCUAUUGCGUCUCAUGGGGCAUUAGCAGUUCUGCAUGGCCGGCAUUCGAGGCAUUUCAUUAAGAAGUCAGAGGUACUUAAAUGAUUUAUGUUUUCAAGUAAGCCAAUUAUCAAUGGUUAAUCACGGAGCUCUUGUUUGAGAGGGGUAUUUAUGAGGUCAUUGGAUGACUUGAAUUGGAUAGAAUGUAAAAUGUUUGCCACUGCCGAGGAUGUUGAUAUGGCAGUUUUGUGACAAAACUUUUGUCCAACUAGCAUCCGAGUAUUAGGUCCCUUUCCUUUGGCGGUUUUUUCUGCCAUUUGAAUUCCCUGCCGUAUGCUUCAUUUUCCUGCUGUUCUCUUUUGAUUCCCUACUCAAUGAUUUCCUUAGCGUCUUGGACAAUGGACAGACCUAUUGGUUGAGAAGGAUGUAGUUGAGUUCAAUUUAAAAACUUCGGGAUAAUGUUGAGCCACUCGUUAAAAUGCACUGAAGCAACUAAAGAAUGUAAUAAGAGUGGGUUUGUUCCUAAAGGAAAGUUAAAGGAAUAUUGUCUGACUUGGCUUAUCUAGUGUCAUUUGUAUGCAGGUUCUAUUAGGUAGAGCAACGGAGGAUGUCAUUGUGGACAUUGACUUAGGAAGGGAGGGAAGUGGUAACAAAAUAUCUCGACGGCAGGUAGAGUUGAUUCAAUAUCUUCUCAAAUUAAGUUAUUAAAAAAAAUUUUGCUUGUUUAUUUGCCUCCUUUUCAAAUGGUUUCCUAAUGGAAAUGGAUGGAUCAUAUUCUCUUUCCAGGCUAUUAUAAAAAUUGAUCAAGAUGGAUUUUUCUCCCUGAAGAAUCUUGGCAAAUGCUCAAUCUCCAUUAAUAGCAAGGAUGUGGCCCCUGGUCACUGCCUGCGACUGAAUUCUGGCUGCAUUAUUGAGGUAUGUUCUAGUUACUGUAAGGAGAACAGCUUAAUAGUUCUGGUUUACUUUUUUGGGAGAAUGGUCCACAUCUCUUUGAUUUACUGGUGGGAUGAAGUAGUGUUGUUUCAUGAUUUUCAUUAUAUGGGAGAAAAAUGACCCAAGGUAUGUAAAGAGAACGCACACACUCUUCCCAUGGAUGAAAUAUUGUACGUAAGGUAGACACUGCUUAAAACAUGAUUAGAUGAUACAACAGUUCCGCAUUUUACCUGUUAAAUUACUAUUCUUUGUGGGCCUGGAGCCUGGGAAGGGCGUUGGAAUUCUGAAUUUUCACCUUGAUCGUGUUGGGCUGUACGUCUAUGCUUGAGAAUUGAAUGUUUUCCCUUUUCAUCUGUGUGCAUUUGCAGAUAAGGGCAAUGCGAUUUAUAUUUGAGUCGAACCAAACUUGUAUGAAGCAGUAUUUGGAUAACAUAGGCAAGAUGUCUCACAAACAGGAGUUUCAAUCAUGAUGACAGAUGUCAACCUAGCUAGCAUGAACAGUUGUACACUUGGGAGGUGCUCGUUUUUCUGCACUUCAUGGAUUCUUUAGGUAUACCUGGUUAAGUUUUGUUUUUAAUAAAUAGAAAAUUAUUAUGAAUAUAAAUAAAUGGUUGUCUUUCAUUGGGAAAAAACAACGAAAUAAUAUAAGGACAUACAAAAAUGAACUCAGAGCACCCUAGAGCAAGGGUCUCCUAAUCUAACAAAAUAUAACAUGAGGAGUAAGAAAGGGUAUGCUGUGUUAAGUUGUUAUCUGGUAUAUGAGUUGAAAUGCGAAUUCUAUUUGUUUCACUAAUUCAGUAGGAAUUUUGUUUGAUGUUUGGUGAUUGGACGUCUUUUUCUCAAUGAGGUUUCAUUGGAUUGCUAAAGAUGGGAAGCAAUAGCAACACAUUUCUGGAGAUUAUUUUGACCGGUAACAUCAGCCAGGAGCUGUCCAACCAAAUUGUGAAGAUAUAGGUAUAUCUAUUCUUGUUCCCUACCCAACCUGGCUACGAUACCUGACUCAAACCUGCAUUCUGGUUACUCCUAUAGAAAUCCAAGUUGGAUCCGAACAUGAUGUUCCCACUUGUUGCUCUUGGAGCACCAGCUAAAGUUGCUAUCCUUUUUGAUAUAGCUAGCUUGAGGUCAAAUUAAAGGUAAUUGAUGUUGGAAGUCUUCUUUUAAACUUUCUUGUAUUUUUCGGGCUUUUGCAGCGGUUUCUUGGCUAGUCUCUGUUUAACUUCUGCAGGCCUGGUUAAUGCUAUUUAACCACAGUUUGUAAGGGCUGCUGUUCAGCUUAUAAACGUGUAUUCACAAGCUAUUUUAGCUCAUUGCAAAUCAUUGUAGUAGUGUCUUGGAUGUUUUACAGCCAUUGGUAGUUUGGUUAUAGAGUGCAGCGACCUAAAUACUAGAAAUUUUCUAAUUGGAUUACAUUGGAAGCAGAGGACACUCACCCAGUUUUGGUCCAAUGCAGUUGGGUGGGAGUCCGUUUGAGGAAAUCAAGAAUGAUUGAUAUACAAUCGUGUAUUUGCUCAAUUAUCUUGUCAAGUAGAGCAACUCACAACGAAUCAACGAGUGCCUGGGGAUGUAGAAAUGAUGGAAAAUGCUACAAGAAAGUUUUCGAGACAACUAAAACCGCAAGAUUCCCAAGAAGAAACAAAAGACGGUUUGAUUUGUCUACCAAAAUCUGAAUUUGGAUGAAGAUUGGCAUACCGGGAGGAUGAACGUUGGGAAGUUUUUACAUCGGUUAAAAUCAUAGACAUUUUCUUUGAGGUCAAACUACUUAUAGUGCUUUCAAUGUAUCAAGAAAAUAACCCAAACCCUUGUUGAUGAGAGGUUUGCUUCCCUUCAAAUUAUAAACAAAUCUUUCUCCAGUCAAUAUCCAAGAAAAUAUGGUGAGAAGGUUUCUAGAACAUUUAUUUUUGAAAUACAAACAAGUAUCAUAAAUGUUCAUACAAAGAUCUGAAUCAGGAUAUGUACAUCAAAACUGGGAUUCUGGGAAUAUAAAACAAACACCCCCUCCCCCUUCCAUAAAGAUAACAAUAAAUUGAGAGAAUGCAUACAUGAAGGUUGCAAAGACAGGAUGGUUUUCAUGCAUGCAUUUGAUAUUAUAAAGAGUGUAUUCUAGCAUUUGAAAUUUAUUUUGGGUUAGGAAGAUGAAGUUGAUAAGGAAUGAUUUCUCAAUUAAAUUAGACAAAAGAAGAAAUUUGAGUAGGGAGUUCAUAAAAGUUAGUGUAAAUGAUUUUUUUUAAUUUAAAUUCGACAACAUUCUAGUUCUUUUUCAACAUUCAUUACCAUCAAUUAGAUUUUGUUUGGAAUGCCUUUUAAAAAAAAUGUUUUUUUGAAAAUACAUUUUAAUUUUUUUUUCUUUGUAAAAUAAGUUUAAAAUCUAAACACUUACAUGUUUGGUUUGACCUAUUUAUAAACGUUUAUAUACAAAAAUGUGUUUGGUUUGUCUUAUACUAAUAGUAUUUCAAAAAGUUUAAUUAUUAUAAAUUAAUUUUAUAACAAAAUACACACAUUUUAAAUAUUUUUCUCAAAAUUCAUUUUUGACAAUUAAUAAAUUACAAAACAAAAUUCAAAUUCAAAAUUGUGAAGAAGGAAGAAAAAGAAAAGAAGGUUAUCUGCCAAUGAAGCAUCAAAACUUUUCCAUGGAACGGAAAGAGAAAAAACCAAAGCAUCUUUAUAUUUAUAUAUAUAUAAAAUUAUAAAUAGCACUAAAGUAGCCCUAAAUAAAAACCUACAAAGUAAACUUAACCACAAAUAGAAUACUAAACUUAAAAAAAGCUUUCAAAAAAUAUUGACUACUUCUGCAUAUAUUUAAAUUUGAUCUUUAAAUUAAUUUAAUUUUAAUUUGAUCUUCUAUAAUACUAUUUCUUGUGAAUUAUUCGUCAAAUCUCACUAAAAAAUAGCAAAAAAUCUAUUAUUAUUUCAUUUAGCAAAAGCUUUUUUUUAUUUAUCAAUAUCAUUAUUAUUAUCAUUAUUAUUAUUAUUUAUCUUUGUCUUUAGUUUCCCGACAGUUCAAACGUGGCUUUAUAUUUUUAAUUUAUCACCUUUUUAUUUUUAUUUUUAGCCAAAAGAAAAAUAUCACUCUUUGUUUUGUUUUACUAUAUAAUAUUAAUUUUAUUGUAAAUGAGGAGAUAAUCUACAAAAUUUGUCUAAUUAAUCAGCCACCUAUCCACUAUAUAUAACAAUACUUUUGCAACCACAAGACCAUGAGUUUGACUCACUUUUCUCAAAAGCAAUUUUAAAUUAAACACAUUUAGUGUAAAACACUAUUAGAAAAAAAUCAAAUCAAAUAUAUAUAACUUCUUAGCGAAGUCACAACACACAUCAUUUCAUUUUAACUCGUUCAACUAUGUUUACAAUUUGAUUAUUGCACAUUGAAAACAAAAACUAAUGACAAAUCCUUCAAGAAGAAGAUGAAAAAUGUGGAUUUAUCUUUUAGAUUGAUUUAAUAUUAAAAUUUCUAAACAAUAUUAUUUUGAGAUUAGAUGAUGUUUGAUAUUAUCUGGUCAAAAAUGGAGAAGAUUUGGAAAGGGAAGUAAAGCCGAAAGGAAGGAAAGGGAAAAUGAUUAGAUGAAGAAAAAAAAAGGCAAUUAGUGAAUAAAUUAAAGAGAUAAAAUGAAAGGAAAGAAAAAGAAAGAGGCAUUUGGUUUAUAAUUUAUAUUACCCGCAAAUUCUGCAAACAGUACUUCUCAUCUCAUUUGACCAACUAUACUAAUAUAAACUCCAUUCAUGAAUGAAUCAUAUUUUGUUAUAUUAUAUGAUAUGAUAUGAUCAUAGGGUUUCCUUUCUUUGGAGGUCACAUGUCCAACUACCACCGCCGCUUCAUCAUUUAAUUAAUCCCCAUAUACUUAAACAAAUAUUUGUCUUUUCUCUCUUCACUCAUUCUUAUUCUAUUCUAUUAAUUUAUACACUUUUUUUUAGGGUUCCAUUCAUUUUUUAAAUGAAUAUACAUUACACUCCAUAAUUUUUCAAUUUAUAUCUAUAAUCAACUUAUCAAAUCUAUCUAAUAUGUGAGUUAAAGUUAAAUAUUCACUAAUUAAAAGGGAUAAAUGGUGCAUCAAUACAUCUCAACUAACUAAUGAGUGCUUUACUUAUAUCUUCUUCCCCUACAAUAUAACAAAUAUAAUGUACUCUUUCCCCCCCUCAUUAUUCCCAAUUAAAUGUUGCUUUAUUCUCUUUUCUUCUAAACCAUUAAUUCCUCUUGCCUUAAUUAAAUAUAUACUAAUGCUUCCUGCCCUCUUCCCACUUCAACACAUCUGUCUUAUUUCACAAUAUAUAUAUAUAUAUAUAUAUAUAUAUAUAUAUAUAUAUAUAUAUUUCAAACUUUUCAAUACAAAAAAUAUAGCACUAAUACACACACUCUCCAACUUUCCAUACUCCAAACCAAACGAUGAAUAUUAUUCUUUUCUGAUUUGACCUCACUCAUCAAUAUACAACGUUUCAUGUUAAUGAGUUAGUUUAAAGUAGGAUAUAAAUUAAUGUGCAAGUUUUAAUCGUCAACAUUGAUGAAGUUUAGUUAGUAAAAUUGAAUAUUUAACACUAUUUUAUAAAGUCACAGAACAAAACAUCUCCUUUCCUUCUAAAUAUACAUAUGGGAGAUUAAUUAAUUAAUCAAUCCACAAAUUUCUAUAUUCUUUUCUUUUUCCAUUUUCAUUUCCACGAAAAAAUAAAACCACGAACCUGUUUAUAAUUUUCAUUCUAUUCCACACUUUUUCUUUCUUUUACUCUAAAAUCAUUUCAUUUUAGUACAAAAAUUUGAUCUUAGACAUAUAUAGAUGUAUGAGUUAAGCUAAAUUCUCGACAUGGAAAUGUAGUUAGAAGUUUUUUUUUCAUGAGCUACGUUUUCGUAGAGUUUUUUCUUUUAAUUAAAAGCAAAAUUGAAAUGACAGUUUGAGUCGUCCUUACAAUCCAUCUCCAUGCAGAUGAGAUAUAUCUUUGGUCAUUUACACAGUCAAUUGGGUUCAUUGAAGUAAGAAACUAGAUCUACUGUGUGUUAGUAAAGUAAAUAAUGAUGAAUUAAAUCCCUCUCUCCUCUCUCUUCUCUCUCUUCUCUCUCUUCUCUCUAAACCCCCCAAAACUUUUUCUUUUUCCUUUGCAAAAGAAAAAGGAAAGAAUCCCAAAUCCCUCUGUAUUUUAUAGAGUAGUAUGAGUGAGUGUGUGUGUUGGUUUAGUUGUGUUAAAUGAUCAGAGCAAAUCCCGGCAGUAUUAAAGACGACGGCAUUUUCAGGCCAUAUUCUUCCAAAAUAUUCCACCGGUAACCCAUAACCUAACCCUCUUUCUUAAUUUCUUCUUUCACUUUCAACUUUUAUCCCUACAAAAUUAAUAAAUUUCUAAAAUUUAACCUACAGAUUUUUUUGCAGGGCCUUUGAAGUAUAUAUAAAGUCAUUAGCCAAAUUAAGAUUGGUAUAGAGAAAAAUUAAGUUGAAGAAAGUAUGAGAGGGUUGUUGUAUUUAGGUGGGAAACAAGAGGAAGAUGAAGAAGAAAGUCUAAGAUCAGGAAGAGAACAACAAUUGUUUUUGUAUAGUACAAACAAUAACAAUAACAAUGAAGAGAUCUACUCCAAGGGAUUGGAGAUUUGGCCUCAACAAAAUGUGGAGAACUACAUUUCCUUUGGAGUUGUGGGUCCUACUAGGAAGAACUUGAUCAUCAACGCCUCCGAUCAUGAGUUCGUUUCCAGAUUAGGGUUUUCGAUGAUGAGAGGAGGAUCAGGUGGUGGUGGUGGGAUGAAUUGUCAAGAUUGUGGGAAUCAAGCUAAGAAAGAUUGUUCUCAUUUGAGGUGCAGGACUUGUUGUAAGAGUCGAGGGUUUCAAUGCCAAACCCAUGUUAAGAGUACUUGGGUUCCGGCUGCUAAGCGACGGGAACGACAACAACAACGUCAUCAGAUUUUUCAGAACCAUCGUCGACAACAAUCUCAAGCAAAUCAAUCAGAUCAAACCACUCUCAAAAGACUUGGAGAAAAUCAGCCACUUCUUGCAACUCCUACUGUUACUUCAGGUAAAUUAAACAAAUAAAUAAGCUUAAGCCGAUGGUUUACGGUAAAAUUUAUUAUGAUUAUUAUUAUUAUUUUUAAGUUCAAACAAACAUGGGGUUGGGAUGGAGGUGGGGAUGAUUUGGACCUCGAACUCAAUGAUGUAAUGGCUUAGAUUGGUGGAGAUGAUUGCUUUGAGUGUUUGUUCUAAUCAAUGUGGUUCUGAAUUAAAUUAGGGUUACAAGUUGCACAUUUUCCAGCUGAAUUCAAUUCCCCAGCUAAUUUCCGGUGUGUAAAAGUCAGUGCCAUUGACAACGUUGAAGAACAAUUAGCUUAUCAAACAUCAGUGAACGUUGGUGGCCAUAUGUUCAAAGGCAUUCUUUACGACCACGGUCCCGAAAGCAGUCAAAAUAUGAGUAUCGAUAUUGGUGGCGAGAGCUCAUACUGCCACAGGGGAGAAGACGACAGUCAACUGCUCGAUCUCGUGAUUGGAGCAUCCAACGGGAGCGGGAGAGUUAGCCAAUCAUCAUCAUCUGCCCCAUUUGUGGAAUCUUCACUGUAUCCUAUCCCAAUCAACCACACAUACAACAACGCCGGUACGCAAUUUUUUCCAUCCACAAGAACCUAACAAAAAUGGAGAUUCUUAAUUAAACUAGAAAAAGAAAAACUUCUCCAUUUUAUGAUGUGUUGAAUGAACACAAUAAAAUAAGAUCAUGAUGUUAUUUUAAUUAAAUUAAUGUAUGAGUAUACAAUGGUGAUGAUGAUGAUAACUAGAUACAACUUCUAAAUUCUAUCCAUCCCUACGUUAUAUUUAAUUUUGCAUUCUCAUAUGUCAUAAAUUAUCAUAUGAGCAUAGCUAAAUUUAUAAUUUUCAUCCAUCAAUCAAAGGUUUGAAUAUUCAUUUUCUAUAGUUGAAAAAAAUUAAUAAAUACAAAAAGGCUAAGCUUAUGACCAUAAAACAGGGCAAAUAAUAGAUUUUGCAUGUUAUUAGUUUUGGAUCAAUAAUGUGUUUAGAGGCUCGUAUGCAUGCUAAGAGAAAAUAUUAAAAUAUUGAUUUACAAUAUUAAUACAUAUAUUUGAACUAAGUCGAUAUUAUCUAUGGUCAUAUAUAGAUGUCAAUAAAUUUUUUUAUUAAAUCAAAAUAUUUAUAAAAACUAUUUAAAUAAAUAAAUAUGCUUUUUGUAUUCGUAUUCAUUCAAAUUUAUUAAUGAUAUCUUUUUUAUGUGUAUUUAUAAAAUAUAUGUAAAUAUAUAAGAAAUAUUGGGUGAUCAAAUAUUCAACCCUCUCAUUUACAUGUAUAUGUAUGGUUGAAUGUGUAUGGAUUAAUUUUUUUUUUUUUUGAAUAUGUGAUUAAGUAGAUCAUUUGUGGAAUUUAAUUAAUUUAUCUUCUUUUUCAUUGCUUUUUAUUAUAUUGUCCGUACUUUGUCACAUGAUUGGCUUCUAUGCUAAUUGAAGACCAUGGGAGUAUUCUUAUUCAUUAAGGUCUUUGUUUUAUUUAGUUCAAUUAUUAUAUGUCAACUUAAAUAAAUUAAGUACUAUACUUCAUAUAUUUAAUGCCUUUGAUUUUCUUUUCUCUUCUUUUUUGAUUUAUGACGUACUAGGGUUUAUACUUCAUGAGUUUGCACUUUAUUUUUUCUAAUUGAAUUUUGGUAUUAAUUUGUUUAACUAGCUACUUUUGUUGAUACUGCAAACAAUUAUCAUGGCUUGAUUUGAAUCAAUAUUGCUCUAAUUUGUUGGAUGGAUUUUGUGCCAAAUUAUUAGUUCUUUCACAUCUCACUAUGGUAUAUAUGGAGAUUAUUGUCCAACACACACACACAUAUCAAUAUAUAAAUAUUAUUGCAAAGCUGCAUAGUUGAUAAUCAUCUAGCUUCAAUCACACAUCAUCGCUGCGGUGCUGUUCAAAAUUGUGCCAUUAGGCUAGAGCAUCACAUGUAGCAUUGUGUGCCAUGAGGUUUAGGGUUUUUAAUAUUUCUAGACACACAUACUCUUUGUUAGAUGAGAGAUUAUUCACUACAGUGUGAUGUACAAAAUUUUUACAAUUAAACAUAUGUGACUUACAUUUUGGAUGGAAUUUUAGAGAUCAGUAGAGAAAUAGAAACAAAAACAGAGAUUAGAGGCUAUAUUUUUUCCAAUUUCCAAUAUUACACUAUGUGUCGUAAUAAACCCUAUAAUAACAUCAAAAGGCCUAAUAAUGGCUAUAGAUUUUAUUCUUGGAGUCCUUUUUGUUUUUCCUCAAAUAAAUCAAAAUCCACAUGGAUUUGUGGGUUUCCAGCUUUCUGAUCAUGUAGCCAUACCCAGCAAAUUAAUAAAGGCUCUAAUUGAGAGGCUUUAAUUUAUAUUAUUUAUGACAUUAUAUAGUACAUAUCACAGAUUCUAUUUAAGUUUGCUUUUAUCUAAUUUUAAGGUCAAGAAAUUCUAUUGUGUCUUAAAGAGGGCUCAUGAUUGGGCUAUAUAUAUUAUUUCUCUAAAACUUACGAACGAUAACGAAAACUUACGAUAGGGCAUGAAGGAGAGAGUUAGAGGUAGAGGAAGAUGUAGGUAUUUAUAAAACAUUAAAACAAACCACUUCUGAGAGAAAAAAAAAAGAUUCCGUUGCCGGGACUUGAACCCGGGUCUCUCGGGUGAGAGCCGAGUAUCCUAACCAACUAGACUACAACGGAUUUGUAAUCUCAGUGAGUAUAAUUUUCAAAACAUCCAAAAAGUAUAAAACUUUAGAAACUUUCCUAACUAAACAUAGUUAAAUUGAAACGUAAUUUGAAUUGGGAAAAAAGUGCUAAAAGAUGAAAGUUAAAAAGAAGUCACGAUUCAAAGAUUAAAUCGACCUAUUAUGACACACACACAUAUUUUUUAAGGGAUAGCCCAAAAACAAAGUGGGGUAUAGAAAGUGAGUCGAGGGAUCCAAAGCUUAAGAAAUAAGGAGUUGACUCAAAAACCUAAAAGAAAAGGAGAAAGAGACUAUAAUAAUGAGAGGAAAAGAAAUACCUAUUUUAGUUGCACAACUCACAUUUCCUAAAAUAUGAAAUUUAUGAAAGCCAACUUAAAAACCAACGUGUGGUUUCGUUUUGAUUUUGUCAAACAAUCUCUUCUCUCAAAAAUACAAAUUUGUGGUUGUAGUCAAAAUCAAAAACAUUUUUCUUUUAAAAAUCAAAAUUUGACAUUUUAAAUUUAAACUAAAAGUAUUAAAACACCAAGAUUUUUCUUUCUUUUUUUUUUCUUUUCGUGUGUGAUAAAAAGAGCACAAUGAUGUUAGGUGGUUCCUUGGAUAUUGGACAAUCAAUAUAGGGAAACUUUAGUUGGAUGUGUUUGGAGUUAAAACUUGUAAGGGUAUAUUUAGUUGAGUUUGUAGGCCACUUUUUUGGUUGGGUAUAAUUGGCAUCUAAAAUAACCAAACAAUUGCAACCCCACCACUUGCAAUCAUCCACCCCCUCACUCUUCCAAACCAAACAACUCUUUCCUUUCUAUAUCCCAAUCUUAUUUCUCAACAAUACCUCUUACUUUUACUAUUAUUGAUCAAUUUCAUAUUGCAACUAUUAACUCUGCAUAAGCCGUUAAAUAGAGUAUAGUAUCAUUAAAUAGAAUAUAAUGACUAAUUAUUCUAAUAGAACAAUACAAUCAAACUACUCAUCUUAAUUAGUUAUUUGCUUUCAAACUCAACUAAAGAAAGAAGAAGAGGAGAGAAAAACUCUUCAAAUUAAAAUGAGAUAUUAUAUUACACAUGAACAAAUAAUUAAAGGUUGAGCAAUUUAAAACUCUUUAAAUAUAGAAUAAUAAAAUAACAAUGGAGCCAUAUUUCAAUACAUCUAAGCUGUAUAAUUACUUUACAAAUUCAAACAUAACUCAUCAAACAAAAGAAACUAUGUAUUUGACAUACAAAAACUAAUUAAAUUUGUAAAUGAAACAAUGUCUAAUUGGAUGUUUGAGUGCAUAAUUUGAAAGUUUCAGCAAUGAAUUUAAUUCAUGUUUUCAAAUACUCAACUUAUCACUUUAAUUUUCUUUCACUACCUUUCUAUAAAAUUCAAUAACAAUUCCCUCCAACAUCUCAAACUUAUUUGUCAAAAUUCAUUUUACAUUUGCAUCAUUUGGCCCAACUAUUUCUUCCAAUUUUGGUUAGGAUCUCAUUGGAAAAAAAGAAAGAAAGAAAAAAAAAACCAAAACCAGUACCUUUUGAUUAAGUGGGGUAGAAGAAAGAAGUAUGCUUUAAGGCAUCCUAUCUGUACACCACAUUUGGUUGGGUUUGUGGGGUUGAAAAAGAAGAAAUCACAAACACCCAAUGGAGUUUACAUUACAUUUAUAUAUGGGCUUUCAAACAGUAGAUCCAAUUGCAAGAAAUGGGGUGGGAAAAUCCAAUCAAAUUAAGUGCUUUGGUGAUUUUAGCAACAGUGAUUUCUGGGUCAAGAGCUGCUGAAGGUUUAGGAAAUGGAAGUAUGCCCAUGAAUGUAACUUUCUUAACAUUCUCAGAGCUGCCACAGAGGAAUGCAGGAGAGAGGAGAAACAGUUCUAGCAAUAGUACUACAGUGGAGGUCAGCAAGCAAAACGGGGGAGGAGGCGGCGGCGGCUAUGGAUGGGGAUGGGGCAGCGGUGGUGGUGGAGGAGGAGGAGGAGGAGGUGGUGGUGGAGGUGGUGGAGGAUGGGGAUGGGGUGGAGGUGGAGGUGGGUGGUGGAAAUGGGGUUGUGGAGGACAGCCAAAAUCCGAGAGAGUUGGACGACGCGACGAUAACGGAGGAAGCAGAAAUGUGAAGGGAAAGAGAAUGUACAGCGAGAAAGAUUAUAGAAUGGGAGAAUUUGCGCAAUGUAUGGUGAAAGGAAGAUGCAGAGGAAUGAGAUUAGAUUGUCCACUCCAUUGCGGCGGACCUUGCUUUUAUGAUUGUCGAUACAUGUGUAAAGCUCACUGUAAUCGACGCCCUUAGUUUGCAUGAUCCGCCAUAACUUCUACAAUAACCACUCUUUAGCUCAACUCAUUUUAAUUUGACUGCUAAUUGAUCAAAAGGAAGUUGAUUUUGAUUCCUAUCGUUGAAACUCUUUAGUUUGUGUAGCUGUUUCACCUUAGUGUGAGGGAGAUGAAUUGGAUUGCUAAGUUUUUGUGAAAGUGUAAUAUAUCAUUUUGCUUGGUUUGGGCAGAGAAAUGAUUUUCUCUCUUUUCUUUUUUAGCUCAAGUUGAAUGUGCAAAAUCAGCCUUAAAGAAAGUCCUUUUCCUUUUCAUUGAUUGGUUUUGAUGGUUUUAUAUUUGUAGUGCCAUGUUUUAUAUUUAUGCCCAAAUUUUGCAAUUGGUUGGCUAAUCUAAUGAAGCCUAACUUAUUUUCGAGAAAAAAAAGUAAAUUGGACUUAAUACAUUUACGGUUAACGAGUUUAGUUUUGUUGUAAUUAAAGAUUGAAGGUUCGAUCAUUCAUCGAUCUCUGUAGUUGUUAUACUAAACAAGAAAAUUAUUUCAAUGAUAGAUUAACAUUAAAUUGAGAGAUAAACGUAAAUAAAUUCAUGAAUAUAAAAAAGUAAUAAAAUAUUACUCGUUUUAAAAAUAUUCCUAUAUACUCUUAAUUAUUAUCUAUUCCGAUUAAUUAUACAUAUACUUCCGUUGGUUGAGAACAAAGGUAGGUUGUCAUAUUCAUAUAUAUGCAUGACAUGAUAAAUUUUAAUGAUAUUAUGUUUAAAAAUUGAGAAUAUUGCACGUUUGAAAAAAAUGCAACUCAAUUAUUUAAAAGUAAAAAUAUCUAUGUAUUAUACAUAUGAAUUAGAUCAUGUACUCUAAAGUGUCUAGGAAUUUUCACUUAUAUAUGUUUAAUGAUAUGUCUUUAAAAUACAUAGACAAAUAUAUGUUAGGAGUGAUAUUAGACUAAAAUUUAACUAAAAACAAAAAACUUGAACCAAAAUUGGCUUAGAAGGUGCUAAAACAACAUGAUGAUCAAGAUGCAAAAAAGAUGUAAACCAAAUCAAAACGUCUAGGUGAUCAUCAAUCUUUCUUGCAUUUAAAAUAUUUUCAAAAUGUUGACGUGAAAGGACGCUCUUAGACCAAAAUUAACACAAGAUCGAAGAGAGUUGUCUACCAUGAUUCAAGCUAUAUGUUUGACCUCGAUCAAGGUUGACUCUACAAGGCAUGCACCGCAAGCACAUUGGAAGUUUUUUCUUUGUUCUUGUGGAUCUUUCUUUUACAAAUUACAAAUUUAACUGUUAGUGUCAGUUGAGGAUCAAGUGCAUUUAAAGGUUAAUAAUAUGUCUAAACUCAAUCAACACAAACAAUAUUUAAUAAUAUGUAAUAAGGAAUGAAAGAUAGGAAGGAAAUCGAAGAGCAAACUUCUUUCUUAUUCAAAAUGGUAAGUAGACAUACAAACAAAAUACCAAGCGCAAAAGGCCUGCCAUUGCAAUGAAAUGCAGGAGAUUUCAAGAACAUCUUAAUGGUGUCAACCAAAGUAGAAUCUCCGCCGCUAUCGCUAUCGCUGCUACAUUCGUUCCUCUUCUCCAUCUCGACCUCAUACCUUAUUAGUAAAGAACAGAGAGGAAGGACAUCCACAGAAGUUGAAAUCCUCCAAUGUUCCAGCGAGAGAGAAUCUGUGGUUAUUUCUAAUUCCACUACAGCAUCAACAAAUGGAAAAAUGCAGUCACCAUCAUCGCUCUGCAGUUGGGUUUAUUUAUACAAAUUAAUAUCAACAUUUUAUAUCCUUUCUUCAACACACUUCCAUUACAAACAAAAACAACUUUAAAACCCCAAUUUCUUUCAUUUUCAUCUUUUUAAAACAAAUUUCAGGCUAGAAAAAGGUAUUUGUAUGAGUUAAAUUUUAUUUAACCAAUAAGUUUAAGGAGGUGGAAUCAAAUUGUAAUGAAUUAAAUAUCAUUUUCACACUUAUAAUUAGAAAUUUAUUCAAUUAUAAUUUUUAAUCUUUCCAUAAAUCUUAAAUCUAAUCAACACAAUUAUAUAUUCAGAAUAUUUUUAAAAAAAUAUUAUUUAUUAGCAUUUUUGCUAUGAAUUUUAAAACAUAUUUUAUUAUGUCAUGAAAAUUAUUAUUAUUAUUUUACCCAAUAUGGUAAAAAAAAUUGUUUCAAAGACUAAAAUUAAAAUUCAUUGAAAGUAAAUUAAUUAAAAAAUGGGCAAAUUUAAAAGUGUAAAUUAGACUAAGAUUGUAAGAUUAAAAUGAUAAAAAUAUUCAUUAACAUUUUAAAACUAUAAUAAUCACUUCCUACCACUAUUACUAUUUCUUUGUUUCAAAAGCUAUGAAUUACAAUCUUUUGUGUUUUUCAACAAAAGAAAAAAGUGGUAUUUUUUUUCUAAUUUCUUGUUUGUGUGUUAAAAAGUGGAGAGUAUGAGAUUGAGUUCAACAAUGAUACGUUGAAACGAUUGUAUUUUCUUUUUCGAGAAAAAGAGAAAAGUGAGUGGGCAGACCUUAGAGAAAGCAAGAGGAUGAGGAGGAGGAGCAUUAGUAGUAGUGGUAGAAGAAGAGUCAAGAAAUUCUUCAAAAUGCCAUUCGGGAAGCGGCUCAAUCAAAUACUCCGCCACACCGUUCAUUGACCCGCAACCGUGGGCGGCGGAGGCAGUGGCCGUAGAACUCUCAGCAACGGAAGGCGAAUGGGAGACAGGAGUAGAAGAAACAUUAUUAGCCCCUACAAGGUGCGAAUUGGAAUUAGGUAAAGAAGAUAAUGAAAAAGCAGCAGCUGAUGAAAGCUUAACACCAGUAAGAAGAAAGCGUUGGUGAUUCCGAGUAACUUGAUUCGCCCAAUGGAUUGCAACAUCACAGUCCUUGCACAGAAUCGCCCUGUCUUCCUGACAGAACAAGAACGCUCUUCUUUCCUACAACGAAGAUAUUUGAACGAUAGUGAACAUACAAACACAAAGUGUACCCAAAAGCUUAGACUUCCCUCCAUCAUCUGAUACCAUCCUCAUCAUAAAUCACUAACUCAAUACAAAAUAUGGGUCAAAAGAAAAUUUUAAUAUAACAACUAAAAUUAGAUUUAAAUAGAGCUCUCUCAUCUCAAAACUAAUUAUUAUGGGAGAAAGGUGAGGAGACCUGACAGAUAUCGCAAAGAGGAAAAUGGUUGUUGUUGUUGUUGUUAGGGUAGAGGAGAGGGAAACGAUGGUGAUUAGAGGAGAGGAGAUCGGGUUGUUGUUGGUGGUGGAGACGGUGGUCGCAAGAGGAGCAGAGGGCGGCGUCGUCGGCGGUGCAAAAAAGCAUCGCCUCGUCUUUGCUGCACACGUCGCACUGGAUUUUCAUUAUUGUUAUUCAAACUCACUAACCAAUGUGGUAAGGUGUAUGGUUGUAGAGACACUUUUAUUACGUGAAGUCCAAUAAAUGUAGAAGACGGUAAAAUUAAUAGUAUUAAAUAAUAGUUAAUUAAACGCGGCCGUCGAAAUCUGUUUGCUGCAAUUUUUCUGACUUUUAGAGAAAGACGAGACCAAGAGGAUGAGCCAAAAUUGGUUAAAAAAAUGAAAGAAUGGUAGAGAGGGAAGAACAAUAUCGAAAAUAAGAUUUGGAAGGGAAUCACAUUUUCUUUCUUUACUUAAAAAACAAAAAAAAAAAAAUUAAUGUCACACUUUGCAAUUUGUUUGAUCUCCAGUGAUUCCAACUUUCUUCUUUUCAUUAAUUUCCUUUUAUUUUCAUCUCUUUUCCCUGCCAUAAACCAUAUCAUUUUUUUAUUUUUUAUUGUGCUAUGGAUAUUAGAACACUAUCCUUACAUAAACAUAUGGUGUGAUUGGAAAGCUAAGAAAAAUUAGUUCCACUCGAGGUUUCUAAUUUUAGAGAAAUUUUGGUUUCUUUCACUGUUGCAGAUGAUCUUGAUUUAAAACACCAGCAGGUGUGUGUUGUUAUUAUUGUACUGCUUCCACUCUCUUGCAUUUUGGUUGUGUGCUAGGGUUUUAGGAGGCUUUCUCUCUAUUUUUCACAUUCAACCAAGACUUAUAGUUUGAAUUUAUUGUAUAGCGACCUCAGUGAUACUAAUUAACACCAGCAUCAUGAACUUGUAAUACGAUGUUUAUGCAACUUUAAUUUGGUCAGAAAUAAUUUAGAGCUAAAUUUCUUUUUCUAAAUUGUGUGAGAAUGUAUCAUGCCCUUUUGUUUCUUCAUUUUAAUUGGUCAGAACUCAUAUUUAUCUAAAAAAAUUCACUUGCUAAUAACAUAAAAUCAAUUCAAUGUUUAACUUUAAAACAAUGAUUAAUCCAAUGCUUUUGAAAAUGUAAUUUUAAAAUUACUCCCGAUCCUAUCAUAUCAUAAAUGUAUGUUCAAAUAAUUUAUACAAUUGAUUUUUUUUUUUUUUUUGUAUAUUGGUUUUGUACCCCCACACAAAAUAGUAGACCGUUGAAAAUGGUGGAUAGAGAGAGAGAGAGAGAAGGGAGAAGUGAAAAAGUGAAAGUAAAAUAGAUAGAAAGGGGAGAGAGUGUGGGUAUGGAAACCCAUAAUUCUAGGCUGCUGCUACAUAUCAGCUCACAGUAUAUUGCCAUCUACACAAGUCUUAGGUCCAUAUCCAUACACCAUCAUAGCACUUUUAUUACACUUUCUAGGACCACUUUAACAUUACAUCUCUCUCCAACCAUGCAAAAACAAAAUAGACAUUCAAAUCCUCUCAUAUUUUUCCAAUUUUAUAUUAUUUGUUUGUAUUAGGGUAAGUUUUACUUUUUAUUUUUUUUGUUCAGUUUUCCCUUCUCUUUCCACCGCUCCUGGGAAAUUUAAGCUCUGCCCUCUGCCCUCUACCCUCUUUGAAGAACUAAGACUAUGUUUGAGAAUUCAUAAUAGAAUAAAUUUGUGAUAUAAUGUAAUUCAAAACAAAUGUUUGAAUGGAGAAUGUAUUAGGUUCCAUUAUGUUAUACCAAUCAUAUUAUGUAUAUAAUGUUGUGUUAUCAAUCCAACUUUUUUUAAUUUCUGGUCUUUUUCACACUUUAAGAUUCUACUUUUUUCCUCGUCCUCCAUUUCAAGAUUCUUCAAAUUUCUCACCUCUCAAGGAAUAAGAAAAAAAAGCUAAUUUGUUUUCAUUUAAUUUCAGCAAAGAAAUAAAAGAAAAGGUUAUUAAUUAUAUGGUAACGUAUAUAGUUGGAUCAGAAUGAAUGUUUGCAUGUAGUAGUUUCCAAUCCAAGACAGGAAUGAAUAAUAAUAAAGAAGAGUCAGAAAAUGGAGCGUAGCGUAGAAAUUAAAUAAAGAAGAUUCAUCCCCUUUCUCGACAAUAACAAAGUAUCAAAUUGACUGACUGGAAGAUUUGAGUUAUUGAGAAUAUGAUAAGGGAUACGCCUUCUUUUCUUCGAUCUAUCAGUACUUUGGAUAGAACAGUGAUGAGUACAUCUCCAGUAUCCAACAACACAUAGUCGUCACCAUCAUUUCUGAUCUGAAACCCUGCCUUAAUUGAUCUUAUCAAACAAUAUCAAAACUUUAGAUCCAUAUCUCUGAUUACCUUGUGAACCAAGGCAUGUCACCUUACCUUUUUAUUAAUACUUUUUCACAUAUAAUAAUAAAGUCUAUUUCAUAAUCAUUCCACUUUCUUUUUAUAUAUGUAUAUAUAUUUAUUUAUUUAUUGUUUUCUAUGAAAUUACUACUUAUAACUUUAUGUAAUAUUAUUUUAUUGAAGGUAUGUAGAUAUGCUAAAAUCGGUAAAAUAAUUUUUAAAUGAUAAAGCAUUUACGGAAAAAUUUUAAAUUUUAUUGCUUUUCUAUCUAUUUAAAAAUAAGUAUACGUAAAUUAUGUGUGAUAUAUAUUUUUCUGUCUCGUUUCACUUUUACUUUGUCAGAAAUGACCAUUCUAGAAAAUAAUGUAUUUUUGGAUCUAACAACUAUGAUAUCCAUUAUUUUUCUUUUGCAUCAAGAGGUUCAAAAUUUUCUUCUCUUCCUCUUCUCUCCGUCAAAUAACAUUCGAUCCUCAUCUUCUUCUCCAGUUCUUUUCAGACUGCAUUUCAUCAAUUUCUGGCUUUGAACUUGAUCAAUCAUGUUUCAUGGGUUUGAUUAGUAUUUUCACACGUUUUAUUAGAGUUUUUGGAGUUGAUUUGUGUUGGACUGGGUACUGCAUAUAGUAUAUGUUUGAGCGGGAUUUAAGGCGUCGGAAACUGGAUGUGAUCUAAAACAGGACGUCUAAAUUUGAAAUUUGAUGUCUUUGUGAUUUGGACAUGCCUAAUAGCCUGGUAAUUUGGAAGCGGAUAACUCAAAUGAUUAGAGGAAGAUGCAUUCCGAUCUCGUCGUCUGAGUUUGAACGUCUAAGAAAUACAACCAAAAGUUGAGUAGCAGUAGCUCAGAUUGGAGUGCAAAUAAUUUUGAUAAUGUCAGGAUGUCCUCGAGAUAAAACAACCAACAAGGCAAUAAAUCAAUUGAAAAUAAACUAAAACCGAAUAAAAUACAAACAGGAGAGAACUUUUUUUAUAAAUGUAUUCAUGUGAUGUGUGUUAGAGAUUGAACUCUCGUGUCAUACGCUAGCCUCAACCCAUACACAUCAAGAGUCAUAAUCUUGAUCUCAACUUUUCAACUGUUAUAAUACAAUUUUAAAUGAAAGGAACGUUUUUAAUAAGUAAAAAACUGAUUUGCUUUAAAACAUAAAAACCUUAUAAAUUUUAAAAAAGGAAAAUAUUGCUUUUGAAAAUUUUCCUCAACAAUUAAUUUGUUCAUCGUUUGAUUAGAAAUUGGAUUAGGAUUUUGGCAUUAAUUAAGUGGGAUUGUAAGAAAAAUAAUGAAAGCUUGACCAAGUACAACUAUGCAUGGGGAUCAAGGGAGCACCAAUGAAGGCAUUGAGAAGAGGUUUGUACAUAAACAGAGUCUAUGUUACACCUUUGCUGGGGAUUAUAUGGUAUAUGCUGUGGUAUAAAUAAAUUCUUUUGAUAUAUUUCGAAAUGAUAUAAUCAAGUACAUUUAUAUUUCAUAUAUAUUUAUAAACAUAUAUUACAAUAUUUUCAUUGUAUUUGAGUACGUACUAAAUAUAUUUAGUAGUAUAUUUCACAUAUUGCUCACUCAUUUGCUAAUGUUUAGUGGUAUCGUACAAAAAUAACAUGAAUCCUUUAAAACCAAUUUGAUACUUAGAAAAGGAAAUGGAAAUGUAUUAAAUGAGAAAAAGUAUUUUCUCACCCCAUAAUAGAAAUGACAUGAAAUCAGUCCGUUUUGGUCGAUAGGUUGAGUUUUUCGAUCUAUUCGACAAUAAACAAGAGAUUGAUUGAAUUUAAUUACAUAUAAGUGAAACACUUUUGUUUUUCAGUAUGUUUUAUUCAUGAUUAAAAUGGUUAAUCCAUUCAUAGACAAUUCACUAAUUAAUAAUCAAAUUGCUAAUACUUCAAACAUUGUACCUUUUUUUCAAGUAAAAAACAAAGUACGAUAUACAUUUGAAUUUAGGAAUGAUGGCUUUUAUCAAUUUUUUUUUUUUUUAAAUUUGAGUUUAUAUAUAUAAUAUAUGUUUUUCAAGCUGUUUUAUAUAUACUAUAUAGACAUAUGUAUGCAUGCAUAUUAGUUUAUUGACUUGGUUUUGGUUGAGUUUUUAGCUAUUUAUUUUUCUAGAAAUGAUAUAACAAAUGUUUUGGAACAUCUGGUGCAGACGUAAACAUCCAUGUGACAUUAUUUAUAUACUAAACAUUAUCAAACAUUAAAAUAAAGAGUAUAUAUUUCAAUGUAUCAUCUACUAUUUUUAAAAUUAAAUUAUAAACUUCAACUUGACAAUCUAAUUGAUAAACUAGGUCCAAUUUGGUGGCUUUGGUAUUUGUUUGACAAGUUGGUUGUAUGCAGUUGGAAUGAUUGAUUGAUCAUUUGAAAAUGUAUUUAUGAAAAUUAUAAUUAAGUUUGAUUGGGAUGGACAUCGUUUUCUCUUUUAAUAUAAAGUUCCAUGAAUCUUCGCACCAACUAAUAUUUUUCACCAUAUACAAUUAAUUUGAACCUUUUAACAAUUAUUAUAAAAAUUAAAAUGAAAAGUAUUCUCUUUGAAUUAAUUUAAAAUUUAACUACUUUUCAAAAAGAAACCAACCUUGAUUAUUCUUAAUCACUGCUGCAUACUAAUAUAUUAUAAUAUCUUCAAUUUUUAACGUUGAAGUUCAUGGUAUAAACUUAUACAAUUAUGCUCAUCUUAGUCUAAUAUUCUCUAUUUUGUUAAAUUGAAUAACAAAACAGUGCUUGCAAUGAGAUUUAAAGAAGAAAAACUAUAAUUAAUUUUUUUUUUCUAUUGACAUGUAUUUAUUUUAAGUUAAGUUUAAUGGUAGAAUCUUGUGCUAGUAUAGUUACAAAUAACAAAGUAUUAAUAAUUGGUGGAUAAUUAAUAUAAUGGAUAGAAUAAUAAUUAAGUUAUAACAAUAUUUUAAAAAAAUUACAAAUAUAGUAAAUAUUACAUAAUCAAUCUAAUUGAAUUUAUAUUUUGGACUACCUUUAAUAAUUUUAUCAACAAUAAUAAAAACUUUAAAUGCAUAAAAUUAUAAAGAGUAAAACAUACUUAAAAUGAUUCAUGAUGUGCUUAAUACAUGAAAAUAUACUAAACACAAUCUUUUUAAAUUUUUUUUAUUGAAAUCUUAACAUGCAGUAUCUAUAAAGGUCAAUAGAGCAUAGAACACUUAAUUAAUUAAAUCUAAACCCUAAACCUUAAUAGCAAUGCAAAUCUCAUAUGAAACUAAAAUUUACUUAUAAAAAUCUUGAAAACAUGACAGUGGUAAUCGAUUAACUCCUUUUUUCCGAUAAAGAUUAUGUAAAAUUGUAUGAUUAACUAAAUGUUCUAUGCUUAGUACAAAAGACUUGAUCUCAUGAUAUAGAUAAUUGUUAGCAACGAGAAGCAUAAAAGCUAUAAUAAUUAAUCAUCAAAUGGAAGGUCACAUGUUCUCAACCAGGUUGCUAUGAUACCACAUGUAAAAUUUAACUUGCAUGAUUAUAUAGAGUUAUUUUAUGGAUUGUCCAACUAAAAAUCAUAUGACGAUAGCACAAAAACGUUUUUUCUGUUUAUAUUUAAUGAUUUUACAAGUCUUGAGUCAUCAAACAGGUAGAACCAAGCGUUAGGAUUACAAACCAAACGGGACUCAAGUGCAGCAACGUAGAAAGAAGAAGCAAAAUGCCAAAAUGUCUCUGAGGGGAGGGCAUUGUGCAACGCUGCAAAUGUUGCACGCGCCAUAUCUAAGUCAGUAGACAUGCUUUGGCAUGAUGCGAAUUCGAAAAGGCUAUGAUGCAUUGAGUGUCAUGACGACACUUUUGAUAUUUGAAGUAGGAGAUGCUCGUGUAAGAGCGAUGCAGAGCUUUGAUCUCCCUGAUGUUAUUGUCAUCCUUCUUCUGUAUACCUUACUAUUCUUGCUCAAUCAGGACCUGUAUUAAUCUUUCUUCAUCAAUUUGAAGGUUGAUUUCUUGGCUAAGGUACGUUGUUUCAGCAUGCAUGGCUGUUUAGAUCAAGUUUUCCCGUUUUAUGAUUAAUUUUUUAGAUUAACAUUCUUGUUUCUACAUUUUAUCUCCAGAAUGAAUUGAUUAUCGAUCAAUUUAUCAAUGAAUUGUCUGAAAAACAAUCCUAGAUUGAAUGAUUAAUUGCUAUUGAUUCAAACUUCGUUCAUUAGUCCCUAAAUUACUAAGUAGCAAGAGGUUAGAUUAACCACCGAUGAACAUCGUUUUACACAAGCCAAGCGAAAAUCACAUCAAGAUUGUACUCAAGCAUUAUCAAUUAGAAUUUGAUUCUAUAACAUAAUCCCUAAAAGUUUAUAUAUGCAAUUUGUGUUAUCCAGUGGUUACCAUUUGCUCAUCUACUGAUCAUGUUGGAUAAUUAUAUAAGUUAAUUAAGAUAGCCGGUUAGUAUAAUUAUUACUAAUCAGUUUGGUUGAGCAUAGACAAUAUUGCAAUCUAUAUCAGUUGGAUGAUGAAUUAAGCUGAUUAGGAAAAAGUUCGAAAUGAACCCAAACUGUACCUUUAUAAUCAUGAUUUCACAACUCUCUCUUGCUUUCUUUUUGCCUACAAUUUUACCUCUUACAUAAUUUAUUUUCUUGCUUCUGCUAAUUCUUGCGAACACCAAACAAAACCAUCUUUUGGUUACCUCAGAGACUGUAAGCAUUAGAAAAUACAACGGUUUUUGUGGUUCGACCUGUACUACAUAAAUAUAUAUACGAUGCAUAAUUAAGAUAGACACGCAAAUUUAUUUGAUUAUUCAUCAGAGGAUUCAACACCCCCUUGGGUGUGAGUUAUCAUACGACUCUGAAAUAUUCCUCCAUUCUUGAUCAUGAACCACACUUAAACUCUUGAGUCUUUGUUUGCAUGUUUUCAAAUGAAGAAACUGUAAAACAAUAUUCGUAUAUCUUGCAAUGAUGUAAUACAAUAUUUUUCUGUUUUUACAAGUAAAAUCAUCAUUCCAGUUUACCAAAAUUGGUACAUCUUGCAACAAUGUCAGUACGUCGCAAAAUAAAAAGUAGAAAGAGUUCAAUGACAAUGGUAGCAUUUUGGUUUGUGGUCAAAGAAUUCAAGCCACAUGUUAAGUUCUUAGAAAGCUUCAACAGAAUUGGAGGAUCUCAUGUGACUUUACCAAUAAGCUAAGAUCAAUGAAGGUAAAAAAACAGACCAUGGAGAGAGGUUGGCAAUUAUGGCUAGGAGAAGAAAGUGAUGAAGGUAAUGAAUAUCCAAAAAAUUCACUAUAAAAAAAUUAUAAAGAAGUAGCUGCAACUUAAUUUCAAGUAUGGAGGAGACGCUUCAAACUUCAAAGCUGGCUAAAUGUUUCAAAGUUUGAUAUGAAAACUAAUUAUUUUCAUACUCAUCUUUGUUUUCCCAAAAUGAAUUUAGAUGAAGGAUCGGUUCACAGAGUUCUAAAGAAAUUAAAGUGAAGCUUGGUGUUGUUGCACAUGAGGACGCUGAGGGAUGUUAAAAUUUCUAUUAGAAUUUGAUAGUUUGAUGGACAAAAUUUAUUUACAAACAUAGUAAAAUAUUUACAAAUGAAUAACAUCUUGUUUUAUUUUAAAAUAUUUUUAACGAUUUUAUCAUUUCAACAACAAUGACGUCAACUCUUUUCGAUUAAAAACGAAUUUUUCAUCUAUUCAAAUAAAAACGGAACAAAGUAAUUUAUAGUUUUUUAAGUUUAAUUUGGUGGUGUUUUUAUAUCUAAGCUGUGUCAACUUUUUUGGAAAGAAAAUAACAGAAUGAGUAAGAAGAAUUAUCAAUGGUUGGUGGAGUCCAAUUAUAAUUCUAUGAUGAUUUUCUUCAUAAAUAAUGUUCAAAUUUUCAAUUCAUAACAUUUCUUGUUUUAAUUAUUAUUUAUUGACAUUGGACUAUGGCAAUUAUUGAUGUAGACAAAUUGCAACUUGUAUUCAUACAUAAAAAAAAAAAACAAAAACAAAUAGUAAUGUCAACAUCAUUUUCUAUUUCUUAAUCAUCUUACUCUAUUUUAUUUAUAUAUCUUGAAAUUUAUGCAUAAUUUCGAAACCAAAUUCAAAACUUGUAUGCAUAUUAUUGUAAGUCUCUUCCGAGUUUAGGAUUCAAAAUUUGGGUUCUACACAUUUAAUUAUUCUAUUAUUUCUCGUGUGAUCCAGUUAUGUUAUCUUUGUUUGUUUUGUAGAUCUUUUUUAAGAUGAAAUUUGUCUCCACAAACUAGUAGAGGUUUUUACUCGAAGCAUUACAUGUCUAUCAACUUUUGCUUAUUCAUUUCUAAAUUACGCGUCUUAUUCGAAGAGACUCUACUUUGAUACCAUAUUUAUAACAUCCUAUAUAAUUCAAGGAUUUAGGCCAUAAUUCAAAUUUUUAAUUCUUUGCCUUGGAGACCUUUAAUAGAAGAAGCUUAAGCAUAGUUGACUUUAGAGUUCUUAUAGUUUUGAUAUUGAAAAAAGUGAACCAGUACACUUUACAUUGAUGUAUAGUAACUUUUAAUUGUUUAAUGUCUCUUUAACCAUAUUUUUAUAUCUUUAGAAUCACUCUCAUUAAAAUAUGAUCUUAGUUCAUUCAUAUUUUCCUAUUGAACUUUGUUAUACGUCUCUUUGUGUGCAUCAAUCUUCUAUUUCUAAACAUGAAGAUUGCAAACUUGGAUUCAUUUUUAAAAACAAAAGUAGCUGACUUUGUCAUUUGUUUUUUUUUUAAAAAAAAUAUUGAAGAUCUACCUAUAAAUCCAAAAAUAAAUGUUUAUAGGAUCAUAAGAUAUAAAAUAUACUUUUAGCUUGAAUAGAUCAAGUUAGUUUUUUAAAAAUUUAAAUUCUUUUUUAUCAAUUAUACUUUUUUUCUUCAUAAUUUUAACAAUAAGUUUCUUAUUCGUGAAUCAAUACCAAAUACACAUAUUUUUUUUAAAAAAAUAAUUUUCAAAAAAUAAAAAAUUUGCAUAAACAAGCCAUACAUUUUACAUUUUUGAUCUUCUUUGCCCUAUUAUUUCACACAUUUCAAGCAAAACACACUAUAGUAAUUCAUUUCAUGAUGUAAAGGCUUAAUUGUUUCCUUAAUUUUAUAUGACAAACAACAAUAUUUACCUUUUCUACUAAGGUUAUUUCUAUCCAUUAUCUCUAUACUUUUUUACUAUCAAAUGCAAAAUAAAAAGAGAUCAAUGAGGAGAGACUUUUUUUUUUAAUAAAUAAAUAAUUAUCAAAUUCUAAGGAUGAUUUGAUUUGUAGAAAAAAUAAGUGCUUUAAUUACUAUCAAUUAGUAGCUAAGAUUUAACGCGAUAUUAAAAUUUAUCUACAAAGUUUAUUGUCUUGCUUAUUUGCAACCUAAUGUACUUUUUAACUUAUGAUAGAUGUUAAAUCCUCAUCAUCCUAUCAAAAUUGUGGCUUUAUGGAAAAUAAAGGUAUGUUGGAUAUAUACAUACAUAUAUAAUUAAAAUUACCUUUAUGUAAAACAAAAUGUACUAAAAAAAUAUUCAUAUUCUUUUAACAUUGAAUUACAAAAGUUUAGUUUACGAACUUUUGAUUUAAACUUUUUUGUCUACUUAUAUAUGCUCUUGCUCUUGUAAUUUGUUGAGGUAAGACCCAAUGAAGAAUAGAGCCCUAAAUAGAGAAAAGGGGAAAUCAUACCUUCGAGUGUAGAGUCGACCAAAUUCGAAUGAGAAAUUAUCGAAAUGAGUUGAUUGUAGAUAUGUUGAAACCUUGAAGGCUGGCUUAUUUAAACACUAUUAUAUAUAUAUUACAAAACUGACUUUUAGAGAAAUGGCCUUAUUCUUAAAUCACAAGUUGAUAAAAAAAAAAAAGCACAAAUACCUCAUAGUACAGUGGUAACUUUAAGUAAUAUAGUGUACUUAGCUUUGCAUCACACUCUUGAAGAUACUCUGUCACAAGUCAGGUCCAAUACUUGUCCAGAUCAAAAAUGAUAAUUCAACGUUGAUAUAUAUAUAUAUAAGUACUCAAUAGUAAAAUUGAUAAAUAGAUGUGAAUAUCAACAAAACAAAAUGAUGUAAAAGAGUUUGGUUAGAAAAAGUAGGGGAGGGCCAACUAAGAAAUGAGUAGGGAGACAUGAGGGGCGGCAGCUGGCAUCCAAAAAUGGCACCGUCCUUGCUUUGGCUUUAGAGCCGCCCAUGGCAUGCUGAUGUGGUAAUAUCAAACUCUUUUCUGUCUUUCUUUUUCCCUUUUUUUCCAUUCUUCUGACCACAAAGACACAGCCUUUGAAUAUUUUUCAACCCAAACAAUGGUCGGCUCUUUCCAUUCACUCCAAUUUGGAAUUUUGAAUUUGGAAUUUUCUUCCACUCUCUCUCUCUCUCUUUCUUUCUCUUCAAAUGGGGUUUGUUGUAUUUGGGUCUCAUUUGCAUUUGCAUUUCCCCUUUUCCUUUCUCCUUUAUAAGCCUCUGUCUUCUACCAUUUUCUCUAUUUUCCAUUUUCACACGAACCCAUUUUUCUCUCUCUGCUUCUUCUUUCAAUCAAGGUUCGUGUCUCUGCUGACUUUAUUUUGCAGUUUUUCCAUCUGGGUUUCUGUUUUUCUUUUCAUUACUUCGUCGUUCCCUUUUACUUUUGCAUGUGGAAUUCAGUUUCUCUUUGUUGUAUUCUGUUUUUGAUCGUUGGAUUUUAUGAUCAGCUUGUUGCAUUUUUCUUCUUAUUGGGUUCUUGUUUCCUAAUCGAGUCUGAUCAUCUGAUCAUCUUUCUAUUGCUUAGUUAACUCUUUUUUCAAAUUUUUUUUCUUGAUCGUUCCCUUUUUGUCUUUAUCUUGAAUCAAUUGUUGGGUCUGUUUUAUUUUUAGAUUUUUUUAUUGAAUAUGAUAUUUGGAAUCUUGUAUGUUCUUUGGGGAAAUUAUAUGCAGCCGUGGAAUUGGGCUUGAUAUGAAUGAUAGAAUGAUAAAUUACCUUCCUUGGUUAUUACUCAUAAUCUGUUUCUUUAGUCAAAAGCUUAGAUCAUGUAUUUUUUCUUUUGUUUAUGAUGAUAUUUGGUUUCUGUCGUAUCAGUUUUGCGUGGAGUUUGAAAGAUGGCAGAUGGUGAAGAUAUUCAACCUCUUGUCUGUGAUAAUGGAACUGGAAUGGUCAAGGUUUGUGUCAAAUACAUGUUUGUUCUUUAGAAUUUGUUUUGUUUGUUUUAUUAUUAUUAUUGUUUUUUGUGAUGAAUUAGAUGGGAAUUUAAUUUUAUAAUUUGGUAUUCAAUUUGAUACUUGUGCUGCUCAAUACAUAAGUUCACAUAGAUCACGCCUUGCAAUGGCAAAUAUCAACUUGAAAAUUUUAUUCCAAAUUUAUGGCAAUUGGUGGGCUAAAUAUAUAAUCUAAUCUUUAAUAUUUGAACCUUUUUUCAAUCGAAGGGAUUCACAAAAUGAUGAUGUUAGUAUCAAGUUGCAUUUUAUUCAUUGAGUCUAUAAUUUACUAUUGUAGAAUAGACUACAAGGAGCCAUGAAAUGGAAAAACUUACUCACUUCAUAUGAACAAACAUGUAGUAAAAUAUCUGACCUGUAACUGUAACUACAUACUGCUAUAGAAAUUUAACUUAUUCAAGUGUUCACAUACAAACAAUACACAGCAUCACAAAUAAUUGCCAUUUUAAAUUCUCAUGUCGACAUUUUUUCAAGCAUUUAGUUUUAAUUGGAAAAUAUUAUAUGAAGUUGAUUUUUAAAAAAAAAAGUAGGGAUGAAAUAAAACUAGUGACAUAAACAUUAAUGGACUAAAUUAUUAGCCUGUAAGAAUCAUAAUUGAAAUAAGCUGGAUAUUUUUAUGAAAAAAAAUCGAAGUAUUUGAGCUUUUUGAUUUCAAAAUUGCUUUAGAACUGUCAACUAAUUUUAGAGUAAGUGAUAACUGAUAUGUCCGUAAAGCUUUUGUUGUGAUGCCUAUUUCCAGUACCUUACAGUUAUAUUAAUUUAGAGCUGUUGUGAUAAUGAUUAUCUCUACUACCUUUUCAUGAACAUUAUUACAGGCUGGAUUUGCUGGUGACGAUGCUCCAAGGGCUGUGUUUCCUAGUAUCGUUGGUAGACCACGUCAUACUGGUGUGAUGGUUGGAAUGGGCCAGAAGGAUGCCUAUGUUGGUGAUGAAGCUCAGUCAAAAAGAGGUAUUCUUACAUUGAAAUACCCAAUUGAACAUGGAAUUGUUAGCAACUGGGAUGACAUGGAAAAGAUUUGGCAUCACACCUUCUACAAUGAGCUUCGUGUUGCACCUGAAGAGCAUCCGGUACUUCUUACUGAAGCACCACUUAACCCAAAGGCAAACAGGGAGAAGAUGACUCAGAUCAUGUUUGAAACCUUUGAUGUACCUGCCAUGUAUGUUGCAAUCCAGGCUGUUUUAUCUCUCUAUGCCAGUGGUCGGACAACAGGUACGUUUAGAUUAACUUUGGGAUGGUAAAUGUGUAUCAUAAUGAUAAUACGUAGUAUAUUGGUUCCAACAUAUUCCUUUAUGAGAUUGAAAUUUUAAUCCAAUUGCUUGUAUCUGAAUUAUGGGAUUGGAGUCAUCAGUGGUUUUAAGAAGAUGAGAUGGGGAUUCAAACAUUUUGUCCAGCGAUGUUUCUUACGCUUUUUUGAAAAUAACAUAUUUUGUAUUAUAAAAGUUUUGUUCUCUGCAAAUAGGCUAUCGAUGUAAAAUAUAUUACGGUAUAGUUCUUUGAUUGAGGCUGAAAUGCAGUUGCGUGAACUUUUAACAUUGUUUUUUUUUCUUACAAUACUUUUAAAACUUUGCCAGGUAUUGUGUUGGAUUCUGGUGAUGGAGUGAGUCACACAGUGCCCAUAUACGAGGGGUUUUCACUCCCUCAUGCUAUCCUACGUCUCGACCUUGCUGGUCGUGAUUUGACUGAUGCUUUGAUGAAAAUCCUUACCGAAAGAGGUUACAUGUUCACAACAACGGCAGAACGGGAAAUUGUCCGUGAUGUGAAGGAGAAACUUGCAUAUGUGGCCCUUGAUUACGAGCAAGAACUGGAAACUGCCAGGACUAGUUCAGCCAUUGAGAAAAGCUAUGAACUACCCGACGGGCAGGUGAUUACGAUCGGAGCUGAGAGAUUCCGUUGCCCAGAAGUGUUGUUCCAACCGUCUCUGAUUGGGAUGGAAUCUUCUGGAAUUCAUGAAACCACUUACAACUCCAUCAUGAAGUGUGAUGUUGAUAUCAGGAAGGACUUAUAUGGUAACAUCGUCCUCAGUGGCGGUACAACAAUGUUCCCAGGCAUUGCUGAUCGUAUGAGCAAAGAAAUCACAGCUCUCGCUCCCAGCAGCAUGAAGAUCAAGGUUGUUGCUCCUCCCGAAAGGAAGUACAGUGUUUGGAUUGGAGGAUCCAUCCUAGCAUCCCUCAGUACCUUCCAACAGGUAACUUUCAUUUUCACUACUUUCAUCAUCACCCCAUUGUUUUCUAGCAUUUUUAAGAGAGUAGAUUACUAACAUUUUAGGACCCUCUUGUCCAAAUCUUACAAAUAUAAAAAACAAUUAGUUGAAUGAUAAACUGCACAUGCUUACAAUCAUAACUGAAUCAUAAACUGCACAUGCUUACAAUUAUAACUGAAUGAUGCAGAUGUGGAUAACGAAGGCUGAAUACGACGAGUCGGGUCCAGCUAUAGUUCACAGGAAAUGCUUCUAAGAAGAGUUGUGAUGCUAAAGUCAACAAUCUUCUAUUACUCCCAUCUUGUGUCAUAUGUCAAGUAAAGUUUGGUUAGUUUUUUACUUUGAAGAUUUGUUUAUACUUUCAAAAGAAAGAUUGGUAAGCUGGAUUCUUGAAGUUGUAAGUUUGAAAUGCGUUUUAUUUUUCAAAAAGAAAACAAAAAUAAUAUAUAGAGAGGGUUUUCUAGAGAUAGUUUUUUUUUUUUUUUUUUUGCAUCCCAAACUAGUAUUUGGAAUAGUUGGGCUAAGUAUGGACAAGAACAACACUUUUGUUUGUGAGUGAUAUAUUGUUGGUUUUGAGGUCAUGAGUUGUAUGCAUUUACACAAAUUGUAAUAGGAACUUCUUGUGAUGGUAUUAGCUGUGAGUUGUAUCAUUUUUUUUGUUAAAGAGUGUUUUGAAUCUUUGAAUUUAAUUGUUAUUGGUUAUAUAAAUGUUCAUGUUUUUAGGACUGAAUGAUCUUUACUUAUUUUGCUUCAUUAUUUAACUUUUAAAUAAAUAAAUAAAUAAAUAAAAGUUAAUACCAAUUAUAUUUGUAUAGUUUAAGACUUAUUCAAUGUUACUAAUGUUCUUUAAAUGUUUUAUUUUGGCUAGUUAUGUAUGUCAAGUAAUCUUUUUUUUUUUUUCUUUUGUUAUCUUAAAUAUUUUUCACUAUGAAUUUUUAGACAUAAUUAAUGCUAUAUCUUUUAUUUCAUCAAAUAUUAUUAUUGUUUAAAUGUUUCAAUAAAACUAAUUUUUAAGGGAAAUUUUAAAUUUGUCAAAAAAGUCAAAAUUAAAAUUAAACAAGUUUCAAAAUAUAUUGGUCCAAAUCACUUAGAAGGAGUUGGAUUAAAAGCAUACCAAAUAUAGGAUAAAGGAUUAUGAUUUUCAUUGUAGAUCCCAACAUUCAUUACGAUUAGAGAUGUCCACGGGACUCCGGACUGGGGAUAUCACUCCCCCUCUCCAUCCCCACCUCCCUAUCCCACUACUCGGAACAAUUUUCCCGGAAAGCAUCAGGUGAGUAUUGUCCGAGGAAAAAUAUUUCUAUUUUUUAAAGUUUAAUCUUAUUUUCUAAUCCACAUCUACUUAAAUUACAUAAAUUUUCAAUGUUUUUAUUUUGAUGGAAUAUUAUCAAUUUUCUUAUUUAAAAUAGAAUAUUAUCAAUUUUCUUAUUUAAAAUGUCAAAUUCUUAUUGUUUAUACAAACAAAUCAACUAUUAGAAUGUGUAUUUAGAAAUUCAUCGGUAAAUUUUAAAUUAAAAAAUUAAAGACCAAUUCAGAAGUAUUCUAACAAACCCUUAUAUUCUUUAAAAAAAAGUUUACAAAUUAGGCCUAACAUACAUAUAUAUAUAUAUAUAUAUAUAUACAUAUAAAUGAAAUUAGGAAAAAAGAAAUAAAGAAAUGAAACAGAGAUUGAGGGCUAGGGAACUCCCCUGGUUGUUAGUGGAAAUUUUUUUUCCAUGUAUUCGAAGAUUCCUCACCCCGUUCAAGGCAGAUAUCUCCGUACUUAUAAUAGAUAAAAAAAAAAAAUUAAGAACACAAUUCGUCUUGUUUGGUAACUAUAACAGAUAAAAAAAGAAUUAAGAAUAAUAACAUUUAAAAACAUUGUAAAUAUAGCAAAAUAUGACAAUCUAACAGAUCAUUAGUUUUUUUGAAAAUGUUAUAUAUAUGGAAAUAUUUGCAACUGUACUAAUUUAUCUUUUCAUAUUGUUUACGAUGUAAAAGGUGGCCAACUUUUGUUUUGCUUGUCAAAGCAAGCAUACAACAAUGUCCCACGUCAUAAUUUCAACUUCAGUUGUUUAUGGACAAAAAAAACACAGAAAAAUAAAAUAAACUGAGCCAAAACAAAAACCCUUGGCAACGAGUAAGCAAUUCUAAGACCUAAGUUAUUUAUGUCCCAAAAGAAUUUCAAGCAGUCAUGUAAACAUUAAAUGCACCCAUCUUCCCUACUCUUGCCAACGACUUUCAUCUCCAAACUCAAUUGAUUUAGAACAUGAGCCAGCACAAGAAAAGUCCACAAAUAAAGAAGACUUGGUUGGAAAACAGCAACAUAUGGAUGCUGAGACUUGGCAAAAGAAGAAUACUCUUCAGUAUGAUAUUCGAGCUUCACAAACAUGUGCAACAAAAAUGUUAUCAUGAUUUGACAAUAUAGUAAGAUGUCGAAAAAUGUGUAACUUAUACUUAAGAUUGAGUUCUGACACUGCUUUUGGCUGAGAGAUGGAACACAACUCUCGGUGGAACAAAACCCUCGGUGGAACACACUCUUUCAAUCAGCCAUGGCAGCAGAAGCUAGAAUUUCCAAAACAUUUUUAACUACUGUGAAACGAAAAUCUCGACUACUCUCAAAGUGAGAGAAAGGAUGCCUCAGGAAUUGUUUCACUGUUUGACCAGAAGGAUAUCCAUGCAACUUUAUAAUACUUAUCAACCACGUGCACAGAUGCACCACAAUAUGUGCAUGACUUUCUCCGUCUGUAUCAAGGAAAUUAGUAUUAGUUCACGCACUAAUUUGACUAAUCACAAUGGUUGACGACUAUAACAUUAUGCUGAUGUUUUUUACAACAUGAGAAAAUACUAGGAUAAUGAGAAGGGUUGGAUACACAAGAGAUGGGGUAUGCACACUAGUUCCAUCGGGAAAAAUAUAAUGUAUUCAGCCUGAUAGUAAUGAGAUAAAGAUCACAUUACACGAAAUAUGCAGUGUGCCAAGAAAAGCAAUCUAGUUGUCCAUCCCUUCCCCAACAAUCUUUAACUUUUUAAAAACUACCUAAAUGAGAGCUAGUCGAAUAAGUUAGAAUUAUAAAGACCCCUCUACUCUGUAUUUCUUCCUCCAUACCAUUUAUCUUCGAUAAGAAAUCAUUUGUGGAUGAUAGCUCUCUAAGAGAGCUGUUUUUUUUUUUAAAAAAAAGGAGCUGCCUAAAUCAAGCUUUUUCUUAUGAAUUUAAUGCUUAAAUGUGUUCUUAGAAAGGAAAUAGAGCAAAGGAGACUCUCGGGACGUCCUAGAACAAGUUGGGCUAAAAAUAGAACAAAUAGCAACAAAAGGAGCCAAAUGACAAAAAUGCCCCACAGUGCAGCGCCCCAUUGUCGUGCAAUGCUAGAGAUAUAAGGCAUGAUUUUGUGGUAGUGUCAUGGUGCCAUCACCUUUUUGUGCGUGCAUGUGCAUCCCUGCGAAAAGAUGCCUCAACGCCACCCCAAUUUCCUAUAUAUUCACGUCAGAUCUUAGGAUUUGAAAAACAAGAAAAGAAUGGAGGAGAUGGAGAGGAUUUCAGCAGGCACAACCUAUUUUCUUCUAUCAAUUUAGUCUUGAUAAACUUGUAGUUUUAUUUUGAAUGCUUCCUAAUCUCUUCUACAUCGUCAUGAUGUGUCAAGGUUAGUAGUUUUUCUAGUUAAGGAGUAAAUUAGAACUUCAUCCGAACCAUAAGAACCGGGUAUGUAAUUUAAAGUUAAGCUCUUCAUUUGGUUGGAGCUCCACGGAAGAGUUAACAAGUUGAGCAGGGUGAUGAGGAAGGCACCCAUAAUGGGGGGUCGUGCUGUUGCAUCCUUUGGUCUUGGUUUGGCUAGGCAUAGGGGUUGCAAAAGAUGUUUGAGGAAUUCCUUCUCCAUCCAAUCUUUCACGAAAAAAGAAAGUCUUGGGAAUGUGAGCGACCUUGUGGGGACUUUUGAGAGAAAGGAACAAAAUAAUUUUUGAAGAGCUAACAAGAUCUUCGAGCAAUGUAAGGUCUUUUGUGAGGUUAUGUGUUUCUCUAUGGGCUUCGAUGACAAAGUACUUUUGUAAUUGCCCUUUCAUCUUUUAGUUAUUCAUAAAAAAGAGAGAAAAAAAUUGCCAAAAAAUUCAAAUUUAGAUUUCAAGAAAUCACCAUAUCAUCACUCCGAAGCCAUGAGUGCAUAAAAGUAUCAGACUCACCAGAAUGUUGUGUGUGUCCAUCAUCAUCAUGAAAUCUAUUUCGUUUUCUAUUGAAGAGGUAAUAAGUAGCCACAGCUCCAAGAGGAGUAAUUUAGUCCACCAGAACUUGUAAAGCCUAAUCAUGUCUUGAACUAUAAGGGAGUUGCUUCAUCUACCGAAGAAUUUGAUUUUCUGUCAGACAAAUCAUUUGAAUUAUAUUGUCCAAACACUUUUGACGCCAUAAAAGAAAAUGGCAUGCAGAUUUAGAAAAGUUGAAAGAUAAUACGACAAAAGGCAGAACCAAUGAAGUAUUAGGCCAGAAAAUGCUCCCAGUAACAUAUAGAACAGAGCAAUUCAUGUAUUGCAUUGCACUCAACGUUGAAUCACAGAACACAUGUCCAUAGAUGGGCCAAAAUUCACCUAACUCCCCAUUAAACUUGAAAUAACUAAUAAUCCAAAAUGUUAAACUACAUUUCCAAAGAAAUCCAAACAAAAUAAAAUUGUACAAGCCAACAGUCAACCAUACUAAAGCAAAUUCAUACACAUGAUUGAUAUAAGAAUGAUUUCAGAAAGCAACAUUGCCAUCUAAAAAUCUUCAAAUUAAAAUGCAGUGUCAGACCAAUAUUUGAUAAAGCUGUAGAUAAUAGAGUUGUAUGCUUAUAUGUACAAUAAAAAAUUUCAGAGGAAGCAGCACUUCUAGUUCUAACAUAUAAAACAUUAAGCAAUCUUGUAUACCUUAUUUGAAGAGGCUAAUGUAAAGAAAUGGCUUUGUCACUGAUACAGGAAACAUCUCUCCGGACGGGGCGAGAAACUUUCUUCUUUACAUAGGAAGAGUUCCAUUCACCACCAUCCUGAGCAUAAUAAUCCAUAGGAUAUUCUCCUUCAGCUUCCGCCUUAUUUAUUUCAUCGCCAUUACAUCCACAUUCCCGACAAUCAUUACAACUCAAUUUAGCUGAGCUCGUCCUCUCCCACCAACCAGGAAUUAGUCCAAGAGCUACCUCAGCCUCAAAUGGAGUAAGAAGAGGCUUAGCAAAAGCAUCUCCCCAGUCAAUUGAAAGACGGGGACAAGCUAUCUGAAUCCAUGCAUCCACCGAAUCCUCAAACAAAGCCACUCUAUAAGGACUGAUUUCAGACAUUAAUACAACAGUAUAAUCAAAUCCUUUAGACUUCAUCUUCUCUUCCAAUCUCUCCAAAAUUUUAGGGUUCCCUUGCCUCCCUAAAGUUCCCAACACAAUACCCCAAUUUGUAGCUUCCUUCGCCUUCAGAAUCGCGCCUUUUCUCGACGCCUUCAUUCCUUCAUGAUCAUACUCCUCAAGCAAUAACUUACCAAUAUACGGAUCAUACCGGAAAACCCUAAUUCCAGGAUUCGCAAUCAUGAAAGCUUCCAAAUGAAACCUCCCAUCGGCCACAAAAAUCGCAACAGUCUCCCCAUUAUUACCGAACGCAGCAGUAGAAACUUUAGGAGCCGUACAGCCCAGAACUUCCCCAGCAGACAAUGGCCUGGACUGAGGAAUUAAAACCCUGAUGCCAUGUCUCUCUAGCUCCAUCUUCGAAGCUCUAAUAGCAGAGGCGAAUUGAAUUGUCCCAGCAAGCACCAAAUUUGUAGAAUCAAGGCAAUCAACAUUGAGACGAACAGUAUUAACAAGACGAGGCACAUCAAUAGCAAUGUCUACAAAAACAUAGAGGCAGGGAAUGGUAGUGGAAUCGAUAGGGACGAGGCAACUGUGGCCGUAAUGGACGAGGAGAUCGGCAUGGAGAGCGGAGGCGGAAAGGUCAUCAACACAACAAGCGCCAAAAGUGACAUCGCCAAGAACGAAGCAGUGGGAGGCUUUGCCGAAAGUGGUGAGGAUAUCGGAGAGGAUAAGAGAGUACAUGAGAAGACCUUCGGGGAGCUGAAGGGCAACACGGGAGGCGGAGGAGGAGAGAAUUCGCCAUACGCACUUGUGAACCUCGAAGUUGUAGUUGGAAGGAAGGAGAGAGAUGGCGGCAUUCAAGGCAGGAUCGUUAAGGAUGGAAUCGGGAAUCUGAUUCUUCACAAAUCGCUUCGGAGGCGGCCUGGAUCUUGGCGGCGGCUUGUCCUCGGUGCUUUGCGAGAGAACGGCGAGCUCUGAUGAUGGGUUUUGGAGCUCCGACUUCAUUUUUGAUAUGAGAAAAACUAAAAGGCGAAUUUCCAAAACUUAGGAACCCUAUGAACUAUGAAGUAUGAACCACUGUUAAAUUAAUCACCUCUUUAACCUUUUCAGUAUCCGUUUCAAUUGAAUUAAUAACAAAGUACUUUUUAAUAAUACAUUUUUUUAACACAAUUGUUUAGAUUUUUUUACCUACUUCGUUUUUAAAACUUUUUUUAAAUAGAUUAUUUUAUAAAUAAAUUUUUUUUAAAAUGUAUUAUUUUAAUUUAUUAAACACUACCAUUUUUUUUAAAAUAAUUUUUUUUUGACAAAAUUAAACACUUUACAAUCUUAACCAAACACACCUUAAGUAAUAGUUCUUAAGUAAUAGUUCUUGUUAUCUAAAAUUAUCUAAUUAUACAAAGAUGAACGGAUUGAGCAUAGAGCCAAUAUAGUGGUUUAGAUCUCUAUCUUGAAUGGACUCAGUCUAGCAACUUUUUGUUCUAAAUGUUUCAAUCUACAUACCUCUUAAAGCAUUAAAUUCCUAGGGAGAAGAAACCAGCACAUUUCAAGUUUUAUCGGUUGUAAUUAAGUUAGUUUAUAACUCAUUGGUAUACUUUAUUUGUAGUUUACCCGUUUUAAAUGCUUUUUCGAAACUUUGAUUUUUAGAAAAUUAAACUUUGCUUUUAUUUAGUUUAGGAGCCAAUUUGAUUAGGUAAGAAGAGUUUUUGUUUGCAAUGAGUUUCUCAUGGUUUUAUAUAUGGGUACGUUUUUUGUUCAUUUAAUAAAAAUUUUAAUAUAUAAGAAAAUAAUAUUUUGAUUACUUUGGACAGAAUUAAUUAAAGGAAAACUUAAGCCAUUUUCAUGGAAUUGGUUAGGUGAGAAAGUGUGAGUCAAUUUUUAGUUUGUUGGGAGAGUGACAGGCCACGCAAUAGCUAAGGUCUUUUAAGAGCACUUUAGUGAGUUUGAAGGCGAAAGUGAGACUUAGGUCGACACAUUUCUUAGUUUGUUUCCGAAGGAAAAGGUCAUUUAAUUAAAUACUUUUUAGAAAACUUUUAUACAUGGUUUUUGAUCCAUAAACAAACUUUGACUUAAUUAACAAUCCUUUUAAGAUGGUUUUAGACACUUUUUUAGUUUAUUUCGAGAUUAAGAAUAUAUCACACAUAUAUAUAUAAUUUAUCUCUCUUUAUUCAUGAUAUUACUGAUUAGCUCAUUUGCAUAUGCCAUUCAUUAUCUUAUGGUAUCUAAAACAAAAGGAUGUUUAUAAAAGUACUCAACCUUUGUUGCUUAUAUUUAAGCAAAAAGGGAUAUUAUUUAUGACAUAUAUUAUGUCGAUAUUACAUACUUAUAUUUUGAUAAUACUUCUGAUAGAUGAUCAUGAUAUCUCUGAUCAUGAUUUUUAUGCAAAACACGAUUUUGGUCGAAUUUCAACACCUUUGAUAAUAAGACCCUUCUUCCAACGCCCAUCAUGUUGAUAUAGGCCAACCUCUAUCUCACCACCACUCUCACAGCUACAGUUAUCGACCGAGAGAUCACCAGCCGCAAUCUCCACCCAUUCUCCUCGUUUUAAACUGUUCAGAAUUAAUUUACUUUCUAUCUUGCACCCAUUUGGCCUCUUCAGUUCUAGAGUCACAGGAACUUCCCAUCCUGAAGCUCCUGGGAGUAUCUUUACUAUAAAAUAUAUAACAUACACAACUCUUGAUGAAAGGAUUGGUGAACUGAUUUUCACACGCACAUCAAACCAAGAUACUUGUAUAAGCUCCGGCACGUCCCAUUUUUCCC
rnacentral:lncRNA from 1 species